rnacentral:lncRNA from 1 species
UCAUGUCUUGUUUGUUUAAUAUGUGAUUAUAAUCCGACAUGAUUUGGUUCCACUUCAUCAAAAUCCUAAUGUCUUUUCUUCCUUUUUAGCCUUUUGCUUUACUUUUUGAAAGUGAUCGCAAUGAAUCGAGCCCACUAGCCCACAGUACAAAAGACAACCAAAUCAUUUUUUUUUUUUUUUUUUGGCAGGUAAGGAGAACCAAAUUAUUUAUGGGCUGUUUUUCCCAUUAUGUGUAUGAGCCCAAUGGACUAGAAUGUUCAGCAAGAAGUCCAGCCCUAAUUAGAGUGGGAUCAUCCCAACCUAGAGUUGUCAAACGGAUCGGACCGGCCCAGUACAGUACGAGCACGGCCUACUUAAGUAAGGCCGGCUUGACAAGGUCCGUAUUUUUUAGCCGUACCGGGAUAAGAUAAUUAGGCCCAAUGGGCCGAGCCGGCCCAUUUAUUAAAUUAUAUUUGUAAUACAUAAUAUUAUUAUAUUUAUAUCUUAAAAUUCAAGUAUAUUUAUUUUCUCUAAUAAUAUGUAUUAAAUUUUAUGUUUUCUUUAUAUAUAAAAUAUUAAAAUUUAUGUUUUCUUUAUAUAUAAAAUAAUAAUUUUAUUUUUUAAGUUUUAAUUUUUAAAAUCUAAACAAUAAUGUAGUCAUUUUCCAUUUAAAUGUACUUUUUUUUUCCAGUAAAUAUCAUGAGGUGUCUCCACAUCCGAAUGGUGGGAUUAAUCCCCUCUCGGGGUUAGGCUUGCCCCUAACCGCAAAGUGCUUCCAACGGGUUUCGAACCCCUGCCAUUAAGCCAUCAUGUAACUCGCCAGCUGGAGGUGGCAGUUUGCCAACUGCACCACACCUUGUAGUUUAUUUAAAUAUACUUUAAAUAAAGUUAUUGCCUACUUUUUUCAACAAAUAAUAAAUCUUGUUAGUAUAUACAUAAUUAUUAACAAUAUUUAAAUGAAGUUGUAAAAAAAAUUACAAAAAAAUAAAAUGCAAUACAUAAGUUAAAUUUGACAUAGGCCCAUCUUGGCCUGUUUAGUGGCCCACACGAGCACAAUCUGAGUCUAUAUGAGCUUGGCCCGUGAACUUGGAGCGAGAUUGAUGAUUUUCAUAAAUAAACGGACCCGACACAGCUUAUUUUAUUAAAUGAACUGACUCUAAAUGAGCCGAGCCAGCCCAACACGGCAUGUUUGACACCUGCCCACCUGUGAAUUGAGAACUUAUACUUCAUGAUCCAUCUAGAAAUUAAAAUACUUUUUUUUUUUUUCCAUGGGUGGUUUUGAAUAGAUUGAAUGAUAACAUGGAAGCUGGCGAAUGGGCAAAUAUAUACAAGUCCUAUUUAAGGAUUCAAAACGACAUUGGAGGAAAUUAGGUGAGCCCUCAGUGAUGUUUGUUUUGAGGCUGACCUAACACUCUUAACAGCUUUGAAAAAUAUUCCUUCACGUCAAGUCUUUGAUUGAGAAGCUAAAUUGAUCUCUACCUAUUUUCAAGAAAAAACACCUAUUUGCUUACCAUCAUUUUUCACCAUCAAUUGCAAAUUUCUUCAUCAUCCUCUCCCAUUACGAUCUUUUUACUUAAAGAUUACACCUCAGCUAUAGGCUACAUUUGUCCCCAUUAAAAAAUGAUUGUAAUUUUUAAAGGAAAAAAAAAAACAUGUGUUUACGUAUCACUACCUUUAUCGAAAAUCAACACCAUUUGUUGAUUAACUAAAUCCAAGUUGAAUGUUGUAGGCUAAUAGUAAUCAUGUUUAUUUCGUUUACAGCAUUAAAAUAAAGAAAAUCAAAAUAAUCAAAAGUUGCUUUCCACAUAAGUAAAUUACCCAUACAUGAAAGAAAAAGAAACAAAUGAUGAGAAGGAAAUAUUGUUAUUUUAAUGGUGACAUGCCCAAAACACCCAAUUUAAAAUCAUUCUACGUAAUAUGAACAACAUGGUAAUCAUUUAUAAUUAGUUGAAAAUAACUAGUGUGAUGGGACAAGUGAAUAUUGGACACGAGGAAUUCAUCAUCUUCAUGCUUAGGUCUUACUCGAAAAAAGUAAAAAAAUAAAAGAUAGCAAAUCACUAAUGCUGAAAAAGAAUGCAAUGUGUCUAAGAAUGUUUGUAAAAGUUAUACAAAUCUAAUGCUUAAAUUUCAAUCAAAAUGAAUAAAUUAGACAAUUAGUAUGUGUUGGAGUAAAUUACCACGAGACUUAAAUCUCACGCCAAAAACAAAAAACAAAAAAUUAACAAUAAUCAUGCAUACUUCCAGCAUGUGCACGUGUCAACAUCUUGUGUCGUUUGCGUUUUACAAGCCGAUACGAAAAGAUGAAAGAACGAUGGGCCUACGUAUGCAUGUGUAUCAAAACAAAUUGAUGGCCCAUGGCGUGGAAGUAAAGAGCCGGUGAGGUCGACCCACGUGGCACAAUUUGCAACUUCACGCUGACGACUGCCGGCUGCCCUAUCAACAAACUUAACCGCCCCAACCCACCACGUCAAAGCCCACGUUGAUGUUCCACGUCAACGUAAGAUUAAGUGGAAUGACGAAAGUAGCCAUGUCCGAACACGAAUAUUUGACUUUUACCCUGAAAUAAACGGAGAUGGCUGGUGUGAAUAGUCGAACUGUUGUAGCAUGGGUUUUGAACGUUGACUUGACUGAACCGACGAUUUCGAGCCAAACUCCAAGGGGACCAAACUUUUUAGUAAAACUGUGGAAUAAAUAUAUUUAAAUAAUUGUUUUAAAAAAAACAGGGGCAAUUUAGAGUAAUUUGACAAUCUAAGGACCAGUCAAAUAAUAGAAUCUUUGGCCCUAAGAAAAAAAAAAAAGAUGGUUUGGUAUUCAUUUGGUAAACCUCUUGGCAUGGCAACAGAGAAUUUAUAAUACAAAAUUUUGACAUCAAGAUAUCCAUUCAAAUUUGAUGUUCACACGCGAAACCUUUCAAAUCAAUUUUAAAAGGAAAUUCUGUGAUACGCGAAACCUAAGUCGUCAUUGAUUGGUAGAUCAUAAGUGGAUAUGCCUUCCCAUUUGGAGAUCCAUCUAAUUUUGUAAAUACUAAUUGUCCCGUCAAUUUAUGAGGAUUUAAUACCAAGAUUAGAAAAUAAUUGAAAUUAAGAUUAGAUUCAAGAUAAAUAUCUAGAGAGAAGAGAGGGAAAUCAUCUAGAAGGAAGUUCAUAAUGUAGUUGUGAAUAUCCAUUUUGUGACCGUCCGAUCAAUCUAGCGCAGGGAAGCACACAUGUGAAUGACUUGAGAGUUACAUUUGAUCUUGGACUAGAAGUGGUUGUACAACGUGUGGAUGAUGUGAUGGAAUACAGAGGAUUACAACUUUACGUGUCAACGAGGUCCAAAAGAGUCGACUCAAACUAAUCCGAAGAUUUGAUAUUUUUCCACCAAACUUCUCUUCCUUGCCGUCCCACGUUUCAUACUUGAUCUUCUUCUUAAUCGACCCGACCUUCUGCUCUAUAUAUACCCACAUGCUUCUCAACUGUCCUUUAAGAUUUACAUACAGAUAUUACAUAAACAUAUACUAGCUAGGAAAAAAUAGGAUAAGUAUAGUUGGAAGCAGAGCCUCUGUGAAUCCACAACAAGGAGAUGGAGAACAGGAACAGCAACAACAACAACAGACAGAGGGAAGGCUUUGAGGAAAUGGGUUUUCCUGUUCACAGUCAAGUGAGAAAGAUCAAGCAAGAAUCCGAGAAAAUAAUUGAUUGGCUGCCGGGAAAGCCAGAGAUGAGACCUGUCCUUGGAGAGAUCACCAUGACCAGGCAGAUCUCUCGAUCCCCUUUGGGAAUUUCUUGCUGACCCAUCUCUGUUGGUGACUCUUAGGAGGAGUCCUCGUUUCUUGGAGCUUAGCGAAGAUGGGGGUUUUGGUGGAUGGUCUAUGCAUCUCUCUAGAAUUGAAAAACAGAGGGUUUUGUUCUGUUUUUUUUUUUGUGGCUCUUGCUCCCUUGUUUUCUUUUUUCUUUAUCCAGUACUUUUUGGCCAUGUUCCCCUUGUAAAUAAUACAUAUUUUAGUUUAAUGAUAUGGCAGUCUUGCUCCUUUUUGAAUUUGGCUGUCUGGUCUUGAGGAUCGUAGGUUGCAGAUUUGAUUGUUUUCAUAGAAUAUAAAUCAGUCAAGAUUGAUCAAGUAGGAAGCCCACCAAUCUUGUUGUGUUUCACUUUUUUCUCUUAUUUAGAAAAUAUGUACAUGUUGAGGCAUAUACACUUUAGCAAACAAUACAAAGUUGUUCGCUCUUUGGUGAUCUAAAGAUAUAAUAGAAAUCAUGUGUGCUGUUGGGUUAGUAUCUCAGAAAGUACUGAUCUUUGGACGUUCUUGGUUCUUGUUGUACAUUUUUUUUCUUCUAUGAAGAGGUACGAUUGGUGUUUUCUUUUCAUGAUCAACCAAAAGGUUGGCGCCAUAUCUGUGUUUGGUAGCAAGAAAGUUCAAGUUUGAUUGAGUAUUCUGGAAAGACUAUACUUCGGGCAAUCUUGAUUGUUUGUAUGCGCUAGGUUUUAAAUGAAAGGUCAAAGUUGCUGAUGGGUCUCUCCCAACUAAUAUUAAAAUAUAUACUUUAAAAUGUUAUGUACAAAACAAACCUACACUAAUAUCUUAUGCUGAUCACCAUCAUUGACCUGUUCUUUUUCUAUUUUUGAACACAAAUUACUAGUGAUUCUAUAUUUUAGUUACACCUAACAAUUCAACAAAAUAGCCUGAGGGUGUGGAGAUUUCAUGACACGUUUUUUGUGUAUAUUAGCCCGAGGCGUGGAUGGAUAUUGUUAACAACUUAAAAAGACUGCAAAUUUGCCGCAAACGCAAGCUUUUCCUCAAGAUAUUAUUAAGACAGCAGUUGCAGAUGGUAGGACCGCAUACCAGUCUGUGCAAUCUCAUUGUGUUUAUUAUUAUUUUUGGGAACAAACACAAUUGCUUUUGGCACCAAAUAAAUAAUAUGCAGUGGUAGCAGCGCUGCACACACAUCAAUGCACUUCCUUCCCUUCUCCCCUCCCCAAAAAUGGCUACAAGCCUGCAAAGACUUUCAUAAGCUAAAGUAAAGCUUCCGUGUCCCCUGCAAUUUCGGCUAUUCACGUGUACAAAAUGCCAUCAUCAUCAUCAUCUCUAUCUAUGCAUGUAAUUUUUUGAAAACAACAGUUUUCCAUUUUUGUGUUUGAAAAACAACAAAGUUUGAACUGCAAUUUCAUGAAGAAUAUCAUUUUUGGCUCUUCCAGUCUCUGUAAAUUUAGGUUAAGGGUGACCCUUUUGUAAAUAAAGUUGUCUUUUGUAGUUUUUGUACUAUCACCAGACAUUAUCACCAAUUAUUCUCAAAGAAAAAAACAGUAAAACCAUCACAAAGGGAAGAACAUUGAUCUAAUUCCAAUCACUUUAAUGUCAAAUAUUAUUGUUGUGAUCCAGUAUUGGCACAAUUCAGACAAGCCUUCUCCAAUCACAAGGUUAAACACACAACUUGUGGUUUUGGUUGCAGGUGGAAGAGGAACACAAAAACCAGAUACAAUUUAUUCAUUUCCACUCCCUCACCACCCCGAAAAUGUAAGCCUAUGGUUUCCAGAGAACUGUAGUUUCAGCAAUCAUGGAAGUGACAACAUAAGGAUCCAUGUUAGAAGCAGGCCUCCGAUCCUCGAAAUAGCCUUUCCCAUCUUUCUCCGUGUCCCUCCCAACUCUUAUGGACGCUCCACGGUUUGCCACUCCCUGUCAAGUCUCAGUUCUCAACCCGUUAAGCAAAACAAAUCAAUGCAAAUGCAAACAAGGUGUAUAAUAAGCUCAAGUAUGUUAAUUUACCCAUAUGAACCUCUGGAUGUCUGCUGUUUCAUGUCGCCCAGUGAGACGGCGCUCGUUGCCAUCCCCAUAAGCAGCAAUGUGUUCCUUGUGCCUCAACCCAAGCUUUUCAAUUGCCUUUUUGAUAACUUCAUAUCCUCCAUCGCUUCUCAUGGACUUGGUGCUGAAGCAUCACAUCCCAUCAAAACACUUUCCAAAAUGACGAUGAAUGAAAACAAAAGCAAGCAUAAUAUUUCAAGUGCUACCUGUAGUUUGUGUGAGCACCAGCCCCAUUCCAGUCGCCCUGGUCACACACACAUACCCUCAAACUCAAAUGAAGCUAAAACAAUACAGAUUUUAAGCCAACGAAAUAAUAGAAAAUUUGGAUAUCUCUUCUGACCUCAAUAGGUUUGGGAUCAAAGGAAAGCACCACUCCAGCUAUCUCUGUAAUCCUCUGUAUUGACAGUACAUAAUAACGUAUCACAUAUGAUUUAGCACAUUCAUUGUAGAAUUAUACCAGAGAGGGAAAAAACAGUUCAUUUGGGUAGGUUUAUAAAUUAUAGUACCUCCAAAAUGUAACGAGCAGCCCAUAACUGAUCUCCAGCAGAGAUGCCAACAGUAGGUCCAACUUGGAAUUCCCACUAUAUGCAGUAUAUACAACAGAAGCAAAGCAAUAAGCUAAAUUUAAGAGAAGAUUUUACACAAAAACGAUAUGCAUGUGUAUAUGUAUAUUAACCUGGCCAGGCAUAACUUCACCAUUGAUGCCACUGAUGUCGAUGCCAGCAUAAAGACAUGCUUUGUAGUGAGAAUCUACAACGUCACGCCCAAAGGCCUUAUCAGCUCCAGCCCCACAAUAGUAUGGCCCCUGCUUUUAUUUUAUUUUCACAAAAGAAAACGAAAACAAAAAAACCAGUUACAUCUUCACAUAAACAAGGAGAUUCAUACUUGAUUGUAAAGUAAAUAUUACAAGAUUCAUAUGAUAAUUUGUCACCUGUGGUCCAGGAUAUCCACCGAGAGGCCACCCAAUUGGCCAUUUUACAUCUUUCUGCAACAAAGUAUACUCCUGCUCUAAUCCAAACCUGUAUGUUUUACGUUCAAUUAAACCACUCAAAGAGAGCAAAUAUAGAAAUGAACCAACUGCAAACAGAAUCAAGAUUGAAGAUGGAUGGUAGAACUUAUCACCAGGGUUCUUCAGCUACAACAUCAGGAUGGCUAAAAAUCUUUGCAGCAUUAGCCCUCUUAUUGGUUGGAAUUGGCUCUCCAUUCGGGGUGUAUGUAUCACAUAUGACCUUCAAGUAAUUAAUAAUCAAAAUUCUUUAACUUUAAGAAAUAACUAAAUGCAACUCUACUGCGACACAAUAUUGCUUCCCUUCCUAAAUGGGUCCCUGAAACUUGUUAAUUAUUCAAAGCAGCGGGGACUUACAAGAAUAUUGUUGCCCCUCCUAAAUGGGUCCCUGAAAAUGGCUUGUGGACUAUAUUUAAAGCACCAACGAAAGCAGUUUUCAUUAGUAAGACUUGAAAAACAGAGUGAGGGAGGGAUGAAAACAGAGAAAAACAGAGAAAAACAGGGAGAAACAGAGAAAUAGCAUACUAUAGGAUGACUUCACUGUCUUUCCCAGGAGCUUGGCCAGUGCUAGAACCGUCAUAGUUCCACUUGGGAAGCUUUGAGGGAUCGCUAAGUGGUGCAGGAAGAGUCUGCCUCGUACAAAAUCAAAUUAGUGCAACUUUAACAAAUUAAUACAUAUCAUCUGUUUGUGUGUGUAUCGAUUUAUCAGGAAAUGAAUAAGUAGAGAGAAGUUACCCUGGCUUUGCUUCUGAUGUCUAUACCAGACCCACCGAUCCUGUUUUAUGAUUAUAAAAAGAUUAACCAUACCAAAAUCAGUAUACUCAUUUAAUUAUCACCCCAUUGGAAAAUAUAACCAUACACAUACACAUGACACAAGUAACACAACCAGGAUUGAAAAAAUUGCUAGUUGAGAAAGAAAGACAUGCUAAAACAGAGUUUUUAGUAACUUAUCACCAUAGACAAGAAAAAGAAAAAGAAAUCUAGAAACAGAAAAACAUAGACAAGAAGAGUAGAGAGGGAGAGAAGGAAAAGUGAGAAACAGAGAGAGUGAUUGGAAUAAAAGUAAGCUUAGUGCUAACCAUAUGUACUCUGCAAUAAUCUUUUCAGUGUAAUCGGAGAGGUUGAGGUUGAGAAGAUCAGUGAGGAGCAGAGACAUUUUCACAAACAAAAGCCAAAGGAAAGAAAGAAUGCAAGAUAGGAUGAGGAAGAGAGAGAGUUUGAGAUUUUGGCUUUUGGCUCUUUGCUUUGCUUAGGGGUUGAUAAAAUAUAAUGAUAACGUAUUUUUGUGAAGAAUGUAGCAUAAAUAGGAGUGAGAGAGUCACACUCUUCAGAAAUACGAGUUGAGUUGAGUUGAGUUGAGUUGGGUUGGGUUUGAGUUGUAUUAUUUCAUAGUGCACUCUUGAUGUUGAGAAUUCAUUACUACGUCCGUGACACGGAAAAAAAAUAAGCAACAGCUUAUAUUUAAAUAAUUUUUUUUCUUUAUUUUCCAAGCCUAACAUAUAUGAAAAUCUUUUUACAAAGAUCUUUGUUUUAUUAUACCAAAAUAUCACCACACACAAAAAUUAAAAAAACAAAAACAAAAAAUAGUUUCUUUAGUGUGAAAUAAAUAUCAUAGAUAUCAACCGAAAAAGAAAUUCUAUUUAAAAAUGGAAAAUUAGCAUCACUAAACUAAUAAUUAAUUAUGAACGGCAGGUGCUGAGAGCUGAAUGAAUACUGUUUAUUUACCUGGACACCUAUAAACACAAUGCAUUGCAUGCUAAUGAAAAUUUAGCAGACCCGUUUCGUUUCAUCUAAUAAAUAAAUAAUUAAAUUAUGUCCUAAAUAUUAUUAAUUAAAAAGAAGAAGAAGGAAGAAAUAAUAAAUAUGGAAGUGCAAUUUGCAUCACACCACAUGUCUACUCGAAAUUCUGGAUUUCAGGGUGAGCAAGUAAAGUUUAUCCAAGCUAGGUAAACUAGGUCAUCAUAUUUGAGAUUGAGAUUCAGACACGAGCUAAAGAAAGUUGCAAAUGAAGUUGUUGUUUUCCUUUGUUUUACAUUUACUAGAAGAAACCAAACCAACACCACCCUUCACGGGACGGGUUGCAUUGCAGGCAUCUAUCAGAUAUCUAUCUAUCCUAUUCCUGGAGAAGAGUGAAGGGUAGACAGAAAACUAACUAACUAAUAAGAGUCUAGGCUAAGGCAUCUAUCUACGUUUAAAAGUUCCAAACUGAAACCAAUACAUCAUAAGUUGUUGUGGAAUUUGAUUUGAUGACAUACUUCCCUAAGUCUUUUCCUAAUAAGAGUAGGUUCUCAUCUGUUCUUGCCCAAUUCUCCUAGUGCCGGCGAGGCUACUGCAUUUAUUUAGUGAAAUACACUUUGUCAGUUUGCAAGCCAAUUUGAUUCUUUUCUUUUUAUUCCUUCGUUUGGAUGGAAGGCACUUUGAUUUGAUUCUUUCAAGUCCUACUAGCAAACGGAUCGCAUUUGUUAUUUUCAUGUCAUUCGACUUUUUUACCCUUUAGUUAACGGGUGAAAAAUACCAAACACUAACACGACCUGUUGAAUAACGGGUAUGGAAGUGGCUGGAUAACGGAUAUUCGCAGGUCAUGUAUAAUAUUGCAAGGUCUACUUUCAAAUAAUUGUUCAAGAAAGCCCAUGAGCAGGUCCGGCCCAAUGAAGAAAAGGCAUGGGCCUGUGCGAUGGAUUGGAUGGUGUGACUGGCGGCAGAGUGGUGUGGCGACCACGCAAAUACUUGGAGAGGACUUUAAACAAAUGGCAGUAAACGAAAGGUCAGAGAACACGCGAUUGCGAUUUCGGUGACGAACUACCCUCACCGCCUUCCCCUUUCGCUUUUUCGUAACCCCCAAGCCACAACUCUCUCCCCUUCUCUAUAUAUACCCUCCUCUCUCUUUUUUCUCUGGGUCUGGGUCUGGGUCUGGGUCGGUUUCCCUUCUGAGACAAACCCAACUGCAAAAAUAUCCAUCUCAUAAAAACACAAAACGGGGACCCACCAUACAACAACAGAAAAAAGGAAAGAAAAAAAAAGAAAGAGAGAGAGCAUUUUUAACACCUGAGGAAGGCUAGAGAGAUACUCAGAGAAGUGCCGGAAAAUCUUCUCUCUGUUUCUUAUCAGUUGGGACUAUCCGAUCAGGUGAUUUGCCUUUGCUUUUGUUUCCUCAUAUUGUUUUCAUUUCAAUUCGAUUUUUAGUUGUUCCUGCUUUUAGGGUUUUGUUUCUUUGUUCGGAUAUGUUGGAAAGUUUCAAGCUUGAUUAGGAUUAGAAAGUAAUACGAAUUAAAUUCGUUUUCGGACAAAAUUUAAGAAUUCACUUUGGUGCAUCUCUAUGGGUAUGGCCGUAGGGCUUUAGUUUACUAAACUCCUGGAUGUUUAGGGUUUUGUGUUUGUUGAUUUUUUUUAAAAAACUAAUUGAUUUCUAAUCUGAUUCAAUUGUUUUUUUGAUGCAGUUACUGCAAACUUUUGUGUUUGUGAAUCCCUUUGGUCUUUGUUUGGGUUCGAUCAGCCUAUUUCGGCACCCUGUCGGAGAAUAGGAGGCUCGAGGGUUCGGUGGUUUCGCAGAAUAUGAGUUCUCAGGUCCCAAAUGAGCGAAGGGAUAGGUCCAGGUUUCCUGCUCAGCCUCCUCAGCCCGCUCAGUCUGCUCGUCGAGAGUGGGUCCCAAGAGGAUCCAACCCUACCACUGCUGCCGUGAACCCACCUCCAAGCUUCAAUUCAAACAUCCCGAAUGGGAAUGUAGGACAGCCCAAUUAUAGCUCUGCUCCAUCAGAGAGUCGGCAGCAGCACAGAGGAAAUAAUGCUUCUAGAGGUCAUAUGGGUCGGCCAAUGAACCAUGGAAGGGAGAGGGGAAGGAGCGAGAAUCAGGAGGAGGUUAGAUUGAAGGACUCUAAUUUACCUCAGCUUGUGCAAGAAAUUCAGGAUAAAUUGACAAAGGGCACUGUUGAAUGCAUGAUAUGUUAUGAUAUGGUGAGGAGGUCUGCACCUGUUUGGUCUUGCUCAAGCUGUUACUCAAUUUUCCAUCUGAAUUGCAUCAAGAAAUGGGCUCGAGCUCCCACUUCUAUCGACAUGUCUGCAGGGAAGAAUCAGGGAUUUAAUUGGCGGUGUCCUGGAUGUCAGUACGUACAGCUUACAUCCUCGAAGGAGAUUCGUUAUGUUUGUUUUUGUGGUAAGAGGACAGACCCGCCUUCAGAUUUGUAUUUGACACCACAUUCAUGUGGUGAGCCUUGCGGGAAGCAACUUGAGAGGGAUGUCCCAGGCAGGGGUGUGAGUGAGGAUGAUCUUUGCCCUCAUGUUUGUGUCUUGCAGUGUCACCCGGGUCCAUGCCCUCCUUGUAAAGCAUUUGCCCCGCCACGUUUAUGCCCUUGUGGAAAGAAAGUAAUUACCACAAGAUGCUCAGACCGGACGUCUGUUCUAACUUGUGGCCAGCAUUGUAAUAAGCUUCUUGAUUGUUUGCGUCACCAUUGUGAGAGAACUUGCCAUGUGGGUCCUUGUGAUCCUUGCCAAGUUCUGGUUGAUGCUUCUUGCUUUUGCAAGAAAAAGGUGGAGGUUGUUCUUUGUGGAGACAUGACUGUGAAGGGGGAGGUGAAAGCAGAAGACGGUGUUUUUUCUUGCAGUUCCACUUGUGGAAAAAAGCUUACCUGUGGUAAUCAUGCCUGCGGUGAAGUUUGCCAUCCAGGCCCCUGUGGAGAGUGCAAUUUAAUGCCAACGAAGAUUAAGACAUGCCACUGUGGGAAAACAAGCUUGCAAGGGGAACGACAGAGUUGUUUGGAUCCAGUUCCAACUUGUUCACAAACAUGUGGCAAGUCCCUCCCUUGUGAGAUGCACCAGUGUCAAGAGGUAUGCCAUACUGGGGAUUGCCCACCUUGUUUGGUUAAAGUGAGCCAGAAAUGCCGUUGUGGAUCAACUUCUCGGACUGUGGAAUGCUUUAAGACCACAAUGGAGAUUGACAAGUUUACUUGUGAUAAGCCUUGUGGGCGGAAGAAGAAUUGUGGAAGGCACCGUUGCAGUGAGAGGUGCUGUCCUCUUUCUAAUUCGAAUAAUGUUCUCUCAGGGGAUUGGGAUCCUCACUUUUGCUCUAUGCCUUGUGGGAAGAAGUUAAGGUGUGGGCAGCAUUCUUGUGAAUCACUUUGCCACAGUGGCCACUGCCCUCCCUGCCUUGAUACAAUCUUCGCUGACUUAACCUGUGCAUGUGGGAGGACUUCAAUCCCUCCUCCAUUGCCAUGUGGUACACCUCCCCCAUCAUGUCAGCUCCCAUGUUCAGUCCCUCAGCCUUGUGGGCAUUCAUCUUCUCACAGCUGCCACUUUGGAGAAUGUCCACCUUGUUCAGUGCCUGUGGCAAAGGAGUGCAUCGGUGGGCAUGUCGUCCUCAGGAACAUUCCUUGUGGGUCGAGGGACAUCAAAUGUAACAAGCUCUGUGGGAAGACAAGGCAGUGUGGUAUGCAUGCUUGUGGCAGGACUUGUCACCCACCGCCUUGUGAUACUUCCUCUUCAGUGGAACCAGGUACAAAAACUUCUUGUGGACAGACAUGUGGUGCUCCUAGGAGAGAUUGCAGGCAUACAUGUACUGCACUAUGUCACCCGUAUGCUCCUUGUCCUGAUAACAGAUGUGAUUUCCCCGUCACAAUCACUUGUUCUUGUGGCCGGAUAACAGCAAAUGUUCCUUGUGACUCUGGUGGCAGCAAUGCUAGUUUCAAGGCUGAUACUGUGUAUGAAGCUUCUAUUAUCCAAAGGUUGCCAGCACCACUUCAACCAAUUGAAUCAACGACCAAGAAGAUCCCACUUGGACAGAGGAAAUUUAUGUGUGAUGAUGAAUGUGCUAAGUUGGAGCGGAAACGGGUUCUUGCAGAUGCUUUUGAUAUAGCUUCUCCAAACUUGGAUGCACUCCAUUUUGGUGAGAAUUCUGCUGUUUCUGAGUUGCUUUCAGACCUUUUUAGACGUGAUGCCAAGUGGGUAUUAUCUGUGGAGGAGAGAUGCAAGUACUUGGUGCUUGGCAAGAGCAGAGGUCCUACAAGUGGCCUCAGAGUUCAUGUUUUCUGUCCAAUGCUGAAGGAGAAGAGAGAUGUUGUUAGGAUGAUUGCUGAAAGAUGGAAGCUUGCAGUUCAAUCCGCUGGUUGGGAGCCCAAGCGAUUUAUUGUGGUUCAUGUUACGCCUAAAUCCAAAACCCCAGCUCGGGUGAUUGGGGUUAAGGGUACGACGACAGUGAAUGCACCCCAGCCUCCUGCUUUUGAUCAUUUAGUAGACAUGGAUCCCAGGCUUGUAGUUUCUUUCCCUGAUCUGCCGAGAGAUGCAGAUAUUAGUGCACUGGUCUUGAGGUUUGGUGGGGAAUGCGAGUUAGUCUGGUUGAAUGAUAAGAAUGCAUUAGCUGUAUUCAAUGAUCCUGCUCGAGCAGCAACCGCAAUGAGGAGGUUGGAUAAUGGUACACUAUAUCACGGGGCUAUUAACGUUCUCUCAAAUGGCAGUGCAUCUGUGGCAUCAUCGGGUUCUAAUGCUUGGGUUGGAUUGGGGACAGCUAAGGAAGGAGUGUCUACAGCGCUGAGGGGUAAUCCAUGGAAGAAGGCUGUCAUUAGGGAGCCUGGUUGGAGGGAAGAUUCAUGGGGUGAUGAAGAGUGGGCUGGUGGUUCCGCGGAUGUGCAGGCAUCUGUGUGGAAAAAAGAAGCUCCAAUCACUGCCUCACUAAAUCGAUGGAGUGUACUAGACAGUGAUGUAGCUUUGGGUUCAUCUUCUGUAUCUCCUAGCAUUGAGGACUCUGGAAAACAGUCUUUGGGUGGUUUAAAUCCGGCUUUGGAAUCAAAUGCAAGUGGUUCGACUUCAGGAGGGCAGCAGCAUGGAGGAAAUAUUGCAGAUACAUCUGAAGUGGUUGAUGACUGGGAGAAGGCUUAUGAAUAAAAGAUAGAAUGAAGCAAUUGAUCAAUAUUUUGAUAACUUUUAGUACCGGCGGAAGGGGGGUUGGUAGUAAAUCAAAUACCCUGGCUUUUUUAUUUUUUGUAUUUGGAUGAAUCGUUUUUUAGCCGAAACCCAAAGAGAUGUUCAGUUGGCUCCACAAUUUUAUCGUUGUCAUGAAAGUAUUCUUUUAUCCAUCUUAUUUGAAUGACUUUUUGGUUCAAAUAGAAUCCUUUUUGGAUUUUAGUUGGGCUGCCGUCAAAAUUUUAUUGCCUUCUAUUAUCUGCUUUGAUAUCUUCCAUUGUCAUACUUGUGGAGGCAGCUGGGUUGUUGCUAGUGCUGCUGUGUGGGAGAACAUGAUUCUGUAAAUGGUCAAUUUUGGUUAGGGUAGAAGUAUAUAGAUAUAUAGCUAUGGCUGUUUAAAAUAGCUAUAUAGCUAUGGUUUUUUAAAAGCUACAGUCAAAAUUUCUGGUUUCCCUGUUUUUUUUAAAGUACUAAAAGUACAAGUUAUAGUCUAAACUAUUAAUUAGGUCCCAUUUCAUUCAUGGGAAAUGAGGCUUGGGAAUGAGAAUUCAAUUGCUUUCUCAUGUUUGGUAAGUCCAGGCAUGAGAAAUGAUUAUCUGGCACAUGGGAAAGUAAGGGGUAAAGUGAAGUCAUUUCCUUAAUUUGAGUUUUGUUUUCCCUCAUCAUGAGAAAGUUUAGGAAAAUGAGCCAACAUUCAAUACACAAUUUUCAUGACUAUUUGUCCCUAUGAACAAUUUAUAAUUACAACAUAUCAUUAAAUACAUUCUUUUUUUAUUUGAUUUAACAUGGGUAUAAUUGGAAAAUUAUAUAAACUUUGUUUUCCAUUCCUACUCAAAACAAACAUGGGAAAGGAAACAAAGUGAAAUCUCCUGGUUACUUUCCCGAUAUUAUCAAAUGUGGGAAAUGAAUCUUUCAUUCCCAUUCCUUGGGAAAUGACAUGGGAAGUGAUUUUCCCUCAAAUCCAUUCCGUAAACCAAACGGGGCCUUAGGGAGUGAGAUUUCUCACACAUACACAAUUAUGAUGCUGGGGAUUCGAACUUUAAGACCUCUGAUCUGCAUGUCAAGGUCCUUUUUCACUGGACUAGAUCCCGUUGGCUGGUUUCUACUUAAUAUACCUAGUUUUUGUCUUCUUUUAACUUGUCAAAGGAAUUUGGAUCUUGUUGGAAACUUGCAAUAAGGGUUUAAAAUUGAACUGUGAGGUGAGGAAGUGGGUUUGAAGAUGGCUGCAUGAAAAAGGAUCCAUUAGUAUAGUGGUUUGGAGUAUUUACUCAUUCAGUUAAGGUCCUGGGUUCGAGUCCUAGCAUCCGUAUUGUGUGUGUGAGUUUAAUAUGCUAUCGCCCCUUUCAAUAAAAAAGGUCCUUAAAAAAAAAAAAAAAAAAAAGAAAGAAAGAAAGAAAGAUGGCUGCAUGGAAUUAAUUAUUUGCUUCCACCGUAUAUCAAUGGCAGAAUUCAGUUAUUGGGUUGCUCGCAAUUGCAUUUCUUAGACAUGGUUUAUGGAUGACACACAUCUAAUCCAAGUCUUCACUUUUCCUAUAAAUUAUGAUUUAUGCGAACUCUGAUAUUCUGCAGUCUGCCUUUUUUUUUUCUUGGUGACCUGUUUUUGGGUUCCGGAAGAACGAAAGAUGAUCCCUUUCUUUCGUUUUCUUUCAUUCAUUAUUGAUUGGUUGAUUUUAACUAGUUUGAUUAAUUGCGUUAAAAGAUAGCAAGUAUUUCUCGUUAUGAUGAGUUAGAGAAACUGAUCAACAAACUAAAGUCAAGUUGGACAAAAUACCAGUCCGUAAGUUGCAAACAUGCAAAAUCAAUAAUCGCUCACACAACAUGUGGGCGGUUCCUACCCAAAACACCAACUCCAAACGGAAAGCCAUGUGGAUGUGAUUUGCCUUCUAUCAUUUAUCAAUUAAAUACAAAUGCAUUUCUUAAAAUAAUAAUAAAUUUAAUAAACUCCUCAUACUCUUUAUUUCAAAAUCAUAGGCGUCGCCUUCAGUCCGGCAUUCCCUCUCUACUACCGAUAUAAAAAUAUCCCCUCCACAAACCACAAAUUUAAAAAAAUUAAAAACAGAAAAACAGACCGUCUUCUUUAUUUAUUGGUAAGGUUAGAAGUAGGAGUAAUUGUAUCACCUCAAACAAAACUAUCAACUACUCUCUCUCUCUCUCUCUUCUCUGUAAGUUGUAAUCCUUUACAUUGUGAACUCCGUGUACGAGGCAUUGUGUAAGUCGCUUGGCAUUCCCAGCUCUCUGUCUUUCAUUUAUAUAUAAAUCAACACACAUUUUUUAGAAUUCAGUUUAAUCUUUUCUUUCCAAUCUGUCUACUCCUUUCAGACAUACAUACAUCAUACAUGGAUCCUCAGCUCGGUUCUGCUAACCAGUUCAAGGUUACUUUCUUGCUUCCGUUUUUCUUUUCAAGUACAAAACUUUGUUUAUAAUCUAUUUACUUAUUUGUUUUUCUUUUAAGAAAGUUGCCUGCUUUGGUACUAAAUGGAUGUAUGAACUUGCAGAAGCAUUGACCCAUGAUCUCUCUCUUUGGGUUGUUAUAGUUAGUUGAUUUGUAUUGCCCUGAUAUUUCUGUAGCUAGUAAUUUUUGAUCUUUUACCAUGAAGAGCAAAAAAGGAAAAAAAGCCAAGAUCCAAACUUUCCAUGAUAUGUACUGCUUACAGUAUAUUUCCUUUUGCAUUUAGUCUUCAAAUUGGAGCUCGAUAUCUGGCAUUUCACCUAGGUUGGUGUCGUAAAUAAGCUUGUUUUAUUUGAUCAAUUGGGGUUUUACCAACUUUUCUGUUUCCAAUUCUGGGAUUGCAGAUCACCAGAUCACAUGCUCAAUAUGAAAAAAGAAAAAAUGCAUGUGCGUACAUCAUUAUAUCCAUCAUGUGUAUGUGCCGGUGUUGAAAUGCUCCUAAUUACUUACCGGACCAAUUUAAAUUGCAAUUUGAGUUGCUUCUUGAUGCUAACUCCAGCUAAAGAAGUACAAGGUUACCAUUCAGUGCCUUAGUGUUGCCCCACAAUGAGUCAUAAAGCAAUAGAGAUACAAGCGCAGCAUUUAUCAUGAGCUUCACCUUAUUAUCAUCUAAUUUUUGACUUCAUAUAAUAUACAGGAGACAUGGAAGCAUACGCUUCUUUUGUCAUUUCAGAGCCUUGGAGUAAUUUAUGGUCAACUGAGUACUGCUCCCUUAUAUGUCUUUGGGACAAUGAAUGCAGAAGAUAUCAAAUCAGAGGAGACUGUUUAUGAACUAUUCUCCUGUAUUUUCUGGACUAUUAACAUCAUUUCUUUACUCAAGUAUGCCUUUAUAGUAUUAAGAGCUGAUGACAAUGGAGAAGGUAAUUAUCUACUAUCCUCCUAAUGACAGGAAUUUAUGUGCUAGGAUUGUGCAAUAAUUUUUCACUUUUAUCAUCUUGUAGGUGGUACUUUUGCUUUGUAUUCACUCCUGUGUAGGCAUGCUAAAGUGGGUCUGCUUCCAAAUGACACAAGUGCUAAUGAGGUUAUGCAUUAUGAGACGGGAAGUCCUUUCAAGAUAAAGGUGGAAUCAAGGGCUAGAAGAGCCAUUGAGAAACAUAAAAGUAGCCACUAUUUAAUGUUGUUCCUUGCUCUGUUCGGUUCCUGCAUGACGAUCGGUGUUGGGGUGCUUACCCCAGCUCUAUCUGGUUUGGCAUUCCUCGUCAAUUUUUCUAAAUAAUAUUAGAAAUUUCUAAGAAAAUUCGAUUUCUGCAUUAAACUUAUGUCAGAUAUGAUUAGAUGUUUGAAUGAUUCGUUUUCUUUGUCUUUGUCUUCCUCAGUGUAUUCAGUUUCAUCGGGUGUUCAAAGAUCAAUGUCAGAUAUGGCACACUUAUGUAAGACCUAGCCGUAACUUCAAUUAGAAAAGUAUAUAUUUCUUUCAAUCAUCCUUUAAUAGCUAUAUAAUCAAUCAUUACUCUGACACUUAAGUUGUAUCUUGUGGUUCUUACCAGUUUCAUCUUCACCAAGAAAACAGGAGGCCAUAUCAAAUGCUUUUGAGAAAUGUGAGUACUUUGUCAUCAAGUAGGUACUUCCACUGCAUCUGUUCCACCCUCUUUGCUUAUGUUGUUUCCUGUUCAGUGACCUGAGGAAGCUUGAACACUUUUUUCAUGAUAACUCAACAUAAUUUUUGUAGAGGCACUCUUGCACACAUGUCCAGUAAAAUGGAAAGCAAAGAAACCGGAGAAACUAAAAGGAGAAAUACACACUGCACCUGGAAAAUAAACACAACACAUUCUGAGCCUGUCAAUCAUGAUGGCCAAAGUUUAUCUGGUUCCCAUUGCAUCUACUAUAUUGGUCAUGACUUGGAUAUCUUAGCUAAUCUGUUUAUUCACUUGGAAUUGUAUUUGUUAUAGAUGUACCAGUUCCAACGGCAUCUGCUAUAUUGGUGUGCCUCUUCACACUACAACACUAUGGGACUCAUAAAAUUGGGUUUAUUUUUGCUCCAAUUAUUGUCAUUUGGCUGAUAUUUAUCGGUGGAGGCGGUAUAUAUAACAUUUUCCACUGGAACAAACAAAUUAUCCAUGCUGUCUCCCCGAUGUACAUGUACAGAUUUGUUAAGAACAUUGAAAUCAAAAGUUGGAGGUCUCUAGGCAGCAUCGUUUUGUGUGUAGCAGGUUUUAUUAAGAUCCCAUGAGCUUCAUUUUACUAUCUUUAAUUAAUGCUGUAAUUUUAUUCGGAACCAGAUGUUUUCAUUAGAUCCUGAAACACAGUACCUUUUGCAGGAUCAGAGGCAAUGUUUGCAGAUCUAGGUCAUUUCAGAAAGAAAUCGAUCAAGGUUUUUGAUAUAUCUCAAAUUCUUUGAAUCUUAUAUCAAGGUGUGUUCUGAAAUUAAAAUGAACUUGUGGAUGGUGUCCUGCUGCAGAUUACAUUUGUAUGCUUGAUUUAUCCAGUCCUUGUUUUAUGCUAUGCCGGCCAGGCUGCAUAUAUCUCCAAAAACUUGCAUGCUGCAGAUUUCAAUCAUCUCAGUGAAUCCAUCCCCCGUAAGCACACUUAUUUUUCUUUACUAGUUGCUUCAUCUGCCAACUUUAGAUAUCUAACAUAAAGAAUGUAUUGUUUAUGGAAAGUCCAGACCGAAUUCGCCACUGGUUCAUAGCAUUAUCCCUUCUUGCUUCAGUUGUGGGAAGCCAAGCAACCAUAACAGCCAGUUUUUCCAUCAUAAAUCAGUGCCUAGCACUUGGUUGUUUCCCCAGAGUAAAAGUUAUUCAUACAUCAGAUAAGAUACAUGGGCAGGUUUACAUUCCUGAUAUCAACUGGCUAUUGAUGGUUCUAAGCCUCGCUGUUACAAUUGGUUUCCAUGAUAUUAUGAGAAUUGGUUCUGCCACAGGUAUGCAUUCGAAACAAUCUCUGUAUUCUUUUGUACAAGGGUUCCAGUAUAGCAACCCCUGACAUACUCUCUAGGAACUUCAUUAUUUACAUAUAGCUGUUAUCUGAUAGAUAUUAAUAGCUCAAUCUCCCACAGGUUUGGCCGUAAUUUCUGGAAUGCUCGUAACGACUUGUCUCAUGUCACUCGUAAUUGCCCUGUACUGGGAGAAGAAUUUGUUUGAAUCUGUCUGUUGUCUGAUAUUCUUUGGAUCCAUUGAGGUAAUGUAUGUAUCAGCUUGUAUGUUGAAUUUCCAUAAGGGAGCUUGGUAUUUGGUUGUCCUUUUGGCAUUGUCCUUGACAGUCAUGCUUUCAUGGCAUUAUGGAACCAAGAAGAAGCUCGAAUUUGACUUACAAAACAAGGUAUCUGCAGAAUGGCUUACUGAUAUUAGCCCAGGCCUAGGGGUUACCAGGGUUCCUGGCAUUGGUUUCAUUUAUACUGAUAUAGUGACAGGAAUUCCAGCUUUCUUCUCACACUUCAUUACCAACCUUCCUGCAUUUCACCAAGUUUUGAUCUUCGUGUCGUUCAAGUCCCUACCGAUGCCUUACGUCCCUGCAAGUCGGAGGUAUCUUAUUGGCAGGGUUGGCCCAAAAGAUUUGAAGAUUUAUCGGUGUGUCGUGAGAUAUGGAUACUGUGAUCCUAUUAGGGACACUGAUAAUUUUGAAGAACAGAUUAUUAGUUCAAUCGGAGAGUUCAUUACCAUGGAAGAAAAUGAGUUUGAAUCCCUGAAUUCAUCAGAAGGAAGAAUGGUGGUUGUUGGAAAGCCACCAGCUGAUGGAAGCGCUUUGAUUCCAUUGAAUGAAACAAACUCAGAUGAGGAGUCUGUGAGCUUGGUGAGCAAUAUUGAAACUCAGCUAGCUCCAAUGGUGGCCGAUGCAGUGGAGAGUGGUUUGGGUUCAGUGAUGAGAAAAAAGGUGCGGUUCAUGUUGCCCGCGAAGAGUCCGAAAAUGCGAGCAUCUGUUAGGGAUGAGCUGCAAGAACUAAUAGAUGCAAGGGAGAGUGGCACAGCGUACUUCCUGGGGCAGGUGCAUUUAGCAGUGCGUGAUGGCUCAGACGUGUUGAAGCGCUUGCUGAUCAUGACUUAUGCGUUUUGUGAUAAAAAUUGCAGAGAGCCUCCAGUUGCUCUCAACAUUCCUCAUGCCGCUCUUGUCGAGGUUGGUAUGGUCUGUUGCAUAUAAAGCAUUAAUUGUAAGGCCAUGCCAGACGUUGGGGCAGAGGAGCAAUGAUUUGUACAAAAUCAGGAAAGAAUUCAUCGGAGAUGAGAGGAGAUAUAUAAGAAAACACAUGUAUUGUUUAAGUUUUUUAAUUUCUUGUAGUAGCUCGGAAUCCAUAUAAAAAGUUGACAAGAAAGAUACAAUGAAACCUAAAAUCUGUCCAUAUUGGUGCAUUAUGCAUAUAUAUAUAUAUAUAUAUAUAUCCAUGCCUGCCUUACUACUUAUUAAGCCUAAUUGUUCAAUACCAAAGUUCCUGCUCUUUCAAACUAUAUAUAUAGGCUUUGAUUCCAAUUUUCAGUUAGGUUUUUUUUAUUAUUAAUCCAAAAGUACUUCCUAACAGAACUGAAAAUUAGACAUUCUUGUGGAAAGAAAUUAAUGGCAAAGUCUAAUUGCAUAGCUAUUAAUCCUUCAAAUGUAACAAUAAGAUGAAGUAUUUUAUUUCAAAUUCCUUAAAUUUACAAUAAUGAAAAAAUAAGGAUGGCAGUGAACAACCAAAAUCUAUGGUCUCUUAGUUUUGGAUUGGAAGAAGCACAUUGCCAACUUCUCCCUCCACUGACAAAAUAUUUCAACAAGUUGAAUUGAUCUGGAGAGAAAAAUGACUAAAAUUCCUGAAUCAGCAAUCAUAAGCACAUGUACUCAAAUAUAUAAUAAAGAUUUGCCACACAACGGCAGAAACGACAAAUCUGUAUCAAAAAGCCAAAAGCCAAAAGCCAAAAGGAAAUAAAAAAUCCUAAACAAAAAACAAAACAAACCACAUCAUCAAACUCCUAAAGAUUUCACGGGAGUUAUUAAACUAAAACAAGAUCACUGCUCCACAUUCUCUCGAGCAACCCGAAGAGAGCCAUAGUGCCGCACUGGUUAAACUUGAAAUCGACCCAACCUGACAUCAUCCCCACGUCAUAGUUCCAAACCUAUAUUGAAGGUUGACAAUUGGAGCCAAAUCCUUGCAUACAUAGGCCAAAAGACGACAAUUAUAUCAUGGCAACGACAACGUUUGACGACGACUGCUUUCACAGCACAAAACAAAGAAACAAAAAACAACGAAUCCAGAGAGAAAUGGGCGGGAAGGAGAGGAAAGGGAUCUUUAAGUUCAAGCAAUUGGGUGAGUAACUAACUCCUUCAAUCAAAACACAGAAAAGAACUAUCCUUGAUCAUUGCCUGUCACGUCAGUCAGUGUAUAAUUAAUUGGCUGGCUCACAAAUUAGCAGCAGAUAAUAAUUAAGGAAAAUGAGAGAUAGAUAUAUAUAUAUAUAUAUUGAAAAGUUUAAUUCUGCCAUGCAAUGGAACGUAUAUAGUCGUGGCAAAUAAAUACGACUGCAUACACCAUUAUUCCUUCCCGGGUCUUAUUGAACCCUGCUAUAAUACAUAGUUUUCUAUAAAUAUUUAAGAAAUAAAACUUUUACAUUUUUAAUUCUCACUAUAAUAAAUAUUAUAUAAUUAAAUAUAUAUUUAGUUAUGAAUGGGGGACUUCUUUCUAGCUGGGGUGUAAUCCAUGACCAGCAAGUCCAAGUCUUCUCCCCUCUCUUGCCUUGUUUUGGUUUUGGUAGUUUUGGUCUUGGCGGCUUCAUCUUCAACAAGACUUGCAACUUUGUCAUUAACUCCUCCUGUUCCUGUACCUAUAUAUAUAGGCGUGAGUGACAAGAAGAAGAAAAAGAAUGUCAUGUUAUAAAUAAUUGAAGGACUUAAUUUAAAGAAGUUUUUGACAAUUAGAUAUAUCAUGAACAUGAUCAACAAGUAUAGUAUUAAUUUGAGAGUUAACCAUAUAUAAUGUUUACCAUCAUCAGCUAUGUAUACGACGAUGAAUAGCAGCAGCAGCAGCAGCAUAAAUGCAACCAGAGCAGUAUUAAUGCGCAGCUUGUUAUUCAUCCCAAAAGCCAUUAAUUGCAACUGUGCCGAUAGAGGAAAACAGUCCACACCUUUUUGCCUCUUCCUCUUAUCUCUAUAUAUUUAUAUGUGUGUGUGUGUGUGUUGAUGGCCUGCGCUGCCUGUAUAUAUAUGAUUCUUGCCUUGGACAGGUGGGGCAAGUGGAUGUUGGAGUAAGUUAGCGUAGGCAUAAGCAAAACCAGAAGUUUUGAGCGUAUAUAACAAAUUCAUAUAUAGAUAUAUAUCAACUCCAGUCUUCAGUCACAUCUUGGUACGGAGACACUAGCGAGAAACAGUACGUACUGUUACUAUAUAGCUAUUUUUCUUGAAUAUAAUAUGGAUGCAUUCUUCUCUCAAAAAUAUAUAUAUAUAUAUAUAUAUAUAUAUAUAUGGAUGCAUGCAUGCCUUUAAUAUAUGCAGUACUACUUCCACCACCAUGCACACAUGCACUGAGAAAGAAGAAGAAGAGCCCUAUAUAAUUUAUUUACCAUUGGAAAGUCCUGAAGUUGAUCCUUCCUACCUUAAUGUUUCUGUGUUACGUACAUAUAUACGCAUAUAAUUAAUAUUAGAGGAGGGCGAUGAGCCAGCAUGCAAGAGCGCCCACACACACAUAUAUAUAUAGUUGCAAUUGAUCAUCGUCGUACCGUACGUACGUUGUUGUAUUCCUUACAGUACUGUCAAUGAAGAUUACAUGGAGAUGGAGAUGGAGAUGUUAACAUAUUACACAUAGCCAAGUUAUUAAUUAGCUAAACCAAGACCUUACCUUAAUUCCUUCCCGGUCCUGGAUAUAUACGCUUCGGAUCCAACAGUAGUAUUAAUGGAAAAGGUUAAUUAGAAGAGAAUUUAGGGUAAAUAUAAUAUAAUAUUCUUAGUCUCUGAAAGAUUGGCACUUGGCACACAAUUAAUUUGGAAAGCCAGAUCAUAUAUCAUCAUCUCUGUUCCUUCCUGUACAUGCAAAUUGCAAUGCAGACCAUGUCAACCUCAAAACAAACCCAAUCAUCGUUCACCUCCAAAGCACAUGGUCCAUCGGGAGCAUCACGUGAAGUUUUUAUAUAUAUGCACGAAUUUGGCUCGUAAAGUCCCAAUUAUACACAUAUAUAAAUAAACCCAUAAAAAUUAUCACAUGGCCAGAUAUCUGCUACCUAGGCUAGCUCUGAUCUCCCAUGUCUAAUCAUUUAGUCAUAAUCUUCAUUUUUCAGCUUGUUAUAUUAUAUCAUAUCAUAUCAGCCAGAUAUCUGCUAGCUAUAUAUGCAUGUAUGUAUGUGUGUAUAUAUAUUGGGGGUGCAUGAUACAUAUCAAACCUUCCAACAUGGAUGCUGUUUGACUGCAGAAACCCACAUGUCUGUGUUGGUUAUUGCCACCGUCUGUUGUAGACAAGAUUAGCAUCCUAUGGCCCACCGUGUAGCGACAGAUUCUUUCUGAUAUAUAUAUAUAUAUACGUGGAAAGCUCACGACUCAUGAAUUUGCAACUCUUCAAUUCAAUCAUCAAUCAUCAGUCAUGACCAAUUACCAUACUAAUUAACGACUAGGGCGUGUUAUCUCAACAAAUAUAUGGGCUCAAUUGUUGUGCCAGAGCCAGAGAUAAAUCUGAAGAUGGGCUUGGUUUGCACGACAUUGGGCUAGCUUUAAGUUUUUUAACAGGACAAGGAGAGGAGAGGAGAGGAUCACCCAACCCAACCCAACAAAAGAUUUAAGAUAGCAUUGCAAUUUGCAUGUAUCCUGCUGCGCAUGCCCAAAAGGACUAGGUGUAAGGCAGUCUAUUAUUCAUAGAAUCAUAGGCCGUCAUUAGGGCCAUCCAGUAUCUCAUAUACUAUUACUAGCCUAAUACUACCACCUCAUGCACGCUGAACAAUGACCUUUGGGUUUUUACAUUACAUAUUACUAUUACUAGUCUAAGUAACUAUUUUUUGGAAUUAUCACGUUUCGCAAGUCUAGCAUAACGUAAUAUAAAAGGGCAUGCAUAAUAUACAAGUAGCUAGUAAAGUAUUCUAGCAUACCAUAGAUUAUAGGGUACCAGAUUAAGUUAAAAUGUGUUAUAACUUGAGGAGAGAGAUAAAAAAGGAGGGUCGGGGCAUGAAAAUUAAUUAUCUCUUAGGGCAUUUCUAUUUAUUUGCCAUGGUAAAUGAUAAGGGGAAGCAAUAGCUGUUAUCAUUUACAUGAAUAGUGCUUGCCCCAGCAAUUUUUUUUUUUUUGGUUUUCCACCAAGUCUUGCCUUUGGACUCGCCCGGGCUAGUGGAGCCCAGCUCUUGCCCUAGCUAGAUUUGGGCUUUGGAAACCAGAUUGGGGGCCUCUUGCCCGGGCUAGGGCCUCCCGGUUGAGGUGGGCAGCCAAUCAUAUCCAAGGUUGCUUCAUUCAGUUAGUUUUCAGAGAAAAUUUGUUAAAUCAGCUUAUGUGGAAGCAAUGUGACAUUUCAAGUUGGGGUAUAUGGUCAUUUCGCAUAUACUCACCCAUCAGUUGUAUUUAGCCCGUCAAUUUGCCCCAAUUCUUCCCAAAAUCAAAACCCUAAUUUGAGACCUGCAACAAAGCCACUGGAGAACUCUAAAUUGGCGUGUGCAAUAACCAAAUGAUGUGAAUCCUAAAACCAGUCGGAUCUUGUGUUAAAAUAAAGAUUAUGAACAACUUUAGUUUGUUUGUAUGAUAUAUAUUAUAUAUAAAGGAAAAUGGUUGAAUAAUAAUUUAUUAAAAAGCUUUUGGUGGAUCAAUUAAUGUCUGGGUACGUACGUACAUAAUCUAUGAUACCAUAUAUAUCACAGGCACAGCAAUGAAGGGUCAUUUUCGUAUGAGUGCAUCCACAGUAGUGGAAACAUUCUCUUCCUCAAAUAAAUGUGAGCAAACAUUGAUAAAAGAAAGAAGCCCUGAUACAUCAACAGUGGGGAAUUUGGAAGUACUGCUUGAAAAAGUGAGGGAUUGACUAGUAAAAAAGGAAACUUAUAUAAAGACACACAAUGCAGACGGAUGAAUAGGAAGAAAUGUACUAGCAAAGUCCCCGCUGUUCGAGAAACCCCUUUGAUAUGUUACUUUCUUUCAUGUAUAAAGACAGAAAAAGAGAGAGAGAGAAAGAGAGAAAGAGAGAAAGAGAGAAAGAGAGAGGGAGAGAGAUUUCAAAGGCCAAAAACCCACACCCCAAUUACGCAUUAGUGUUUCUGACCGACUGAUCAUGAUGAGAGACUGAUCAAAUUAAUAUAUGAAAUAUAAAUUAUAUGCAUGCAUGAGUCAUUCCAGUGGUGAAUUCCAAAAAUGGGAGCGUCUCCGUACUCUCUUUGCACUGAUCACUUAGUUGUAAUAUAUAAUAGAGAGAGAGAGAGAGAGAGUCACAGUACUAGUAGACUAGUAUAUAUAUAGUUAAUGUGAACAAAAAUGGUAAGACUGACUUGUAUGAUGCAUAAUUGUUGUUAGUGCAGUCCAGAGAAUUUGUAUUUGCUUAUACUUAUAGGUAUAUAUAGCUAGAGUCGAUCUCCUCUCUCCAGGGUACGUUGGAAGAUUUGUAAUUAUAAUAUGGAAGGAGCUUUGAGUAGUUCUACUACUUACAAGGAGAAAGAAAAACAAGAGAAUGUUGAAGAUCAUGAGAUCCUCAAAAACAGAAUCUCUACCCAUCCCUUAUAUGGGCUGUUGGUUGAAGCUCACUUGGAUUGUUUGAAGGUCUCUUCUCUCUCUCUCUCUCUCUCUCUCUCUCUCUCUCUCUCUCCCUAUGUUUGUGUGUUUGUGUGAGUGAGUGUGUGUAAAUUGAUUUGCAGUGAAGGUUUUUAUAGCUACAAUACAAGUUUGGUUAAGGCUUAAAUAUAUGCCUUAUUGGGGUAUACCUAGUUUGCUUGCACAAUCUGUAUAUGUGCCUUCUAUCUGAUACAAAAUAGGGCAUCCAUCCUCCUGCUGCCUGCAUAUAUAAUUAAGCAGCAUAUAUUCUUAUUAAUUACUUAUUAAUUAGAUCCGUCGUGGUCUUCUUCUUCUUCUUCUUCUUUCAAAUCUUCAUCAGGUCGGUGGAAUUAGUGGUGACCUAGACCUAGAGGGAGAUGUUAGCAGAGAUAUGAAGCAGCUUGACAACAAGUACAAGGCCAGUGAAAAUCGACAAUCUGACCUCGAUCACUUCAUGGUAAUUAGUUAAAAUUGAUCCCUCUUCACAUAUAUUAACCUUAUCCUUCUCUCUUGUGUGCUAGCUCCAUCAUCGUACACAUCAAGAGUAGUAGCUAGCUAGUGGUAGUACGUACUCAAGGAAGUUAAUUAAUACCCCAAAUUAAUGCACACUAAGUCUUUUCGGUAACGCAUGCAAUUAACUGUGUAGAUAUAAAGACCAAGAAAUAUGAGCAGGAAGCAUAUAUCUAUAAUUAAAUAUAUUGCUCUGUGUUUUUAACAAAAAUUAUUAAUUAUUAUUACUUGUCUGGGACUGGACUGGACUGGGACUUGGACUUGGACUGGGGUAUGUAUAAUAUAUUAUUGAUGCAGGAAGCAUAUUGCUUGGCACUUGGGAAGCUGAAAGAAGCAAUGGAGGAACCGCAGCAAACGUCGAUGGCCUUCAUAAGUAACAUGCACCUGCAACUCAAGGAGCUAACAGGAUCUCAUCAACCUGAACCGGCCACCUCACUUUCCGGUCAGUCUGUUGACCAUCUAAAUUAAACACACCCACACCCACCACAUGCAUAUACAAAUAUAAUACUAUAGCUAGUUAAUUUCUGUUAAUCUUUUAAUGUCGUAGGUGAAAGCUACAAUUGAUUGUGCCUGCAGUCUGCAGACGAGCGAAAGGCCAGGAGGAUGCAGUGCCUUCAUGGAACCUGAUGAAUUUUUCCAGAAUAUAAUUUUUAUAUAUAUGGUAUGAUAUUUGCCUCCAAUCCAAUCACGUUUGCGAUUUGUGACACACUCCUGCGCAACAUGGCAUGUAAAAUUUGGUCCUUAUUUUAAUUAUGCGUCCAUCUCAAGCUGUUUCAUUUAUUAGUCUGAUAUUUCCAGGGAAUCAAACAAAUUGAACGAAGCUGGUUUUGUAUUCACCAACCAAUCUAUUUCCAACUCAUUAUUUUUGCUAACAAUAGCACAAUCGAUUUAUUUAUAAAUACGACUGGACUCUGGAGGAUAAUAUAGAUUUUUCAUGCUUCGUCAGAAACUGAAACCCCCCCCAAAAAAAAAAAGUUAAUUAGCUUGAUUGGAUGGAUUGGAAAGUAUGUAUCUUAACAAGUUAUUACAUCAACUGAGAUGUUCAUACACGCAGUUCAUGUCUCCAAAUUAAAAGAAAUUUGGGCUCAACUCUACACCAGAAAAGAGAUGAACAUCCCAUAUAUUUCAAUCAUAUGCCGGCAAUGCUUGUAUGGUUGUGUAAUUUAGUUGGAAACCAUGCUUUCAGUCUCUUUGACGAAGCCGUCUCCUGUCCACUCCUUGUCCGAUUGCAAACCUUUCCGGACAGCUUUCCUCUGUUGUAUUGCUUCUUGUUGCCUUCGUACUAAAUCAGUAUGUGUUGUAAAAUAUUCAAGGGAAACCCUGCAUAUUCAUUGAAAAGAAAAGACCGACCGAAAAUAUCAGUAUACUCGAUUUUUAACCUGAUUAUAAUUCUGUUUAGAUGUAACAUUCAUUCUAAAAAGAAAUUUCUUACCCCCUGAAAUCUUCUAUAGAUGAGAAAUUGUGUAGUUUCAUAAAAUCCUGAAGCUCAGAACAGAGUUUUUUCACAAUACCAUAUCCAUGCAUCAUGACCCCAGUGCAGACCUGCAACAGCAAUCACAGAAUUUUAUUUCUUCUACAGUCAAGUAGUAUUGAGCCUCAAACUGUUUAGGCCGGUCCUGCCGCUUAUCAUGGCAUGCUGCCUAACAUAACAUGUGCAGAAUAACCUCAAAAUCUGUACAUUACUAAGUCAAUUAUGGAGAUAAACACUAUUGGCCACGAAGUCAAAUCGUGUGUGUUGAAGGUUGUAGAGUCCAUCACUACACAUAAUUGUUGAGAGUAACACACAAAAACUACAAAAGUUAGUUUCUCAACAUACCUGAACAGUAUUUGCUCCAAGCAGAAUAAAUUCAGCAGCAUCACCACCGGACUCAACACCCCCAAUACCAGAAAGUGAGUAAUCCUUAUCACCAAACUCUGAUUUCAUCAUUUUUGCAAUAUUCAUUACUUUUGCAAGUGCAAUAGGAUGAACUGCCUUAGAAGAAUAGCCUCCAGGAGUUGAGUAUCUGACAGAAAAUUAGGCAUGUUUUCCUGAGAUAAAUGACAAGUCAAACUAAAUAAUAUAAUAUUUCUAGUUUCAGCAUGCAUACCCCUCCACACAAGGUUCAGGCCGUAAGGUAGUUAGAUUGAUCCCCAUUACACUCAUGAUUGUGUUAAUAGCGGCAACCCCCUCACAUCCUGAGCUCAGAGCCACUCUAGCGGGCUACAAACAAAAGGAUAAAUGAUACGAGGAAGAUUAUAAUAGAAUUUACUGUAAAUGAUAAACAUCUUGUAACAUACAUCUAAAGGAAAAAGAGAAGAAAUAUGUAAUAGUAAAGAAAUGAAACUGUUGUUAAUUUAGACCUGUUCAUUUUGAAUUUUUCUGAACAAGAACACAUCUUUAAGUAAUGCAAAAGUGGGAGAAGUUAAGCUAGCUGACCUGUGUGAUGUCAGUGACGUUAGGAGUCAUCUUAGCCCAAACAGGAAUUGUAGCUUUGGCAUUAAUCCAUCCACAGACUUCUUCCAAAAGUGCGCAGUCUUGGCCAACUGCAGCACCCAUCUUGCGCUCUGGCAUACCAUGAGGACAGGAGAAAUUGAUUUCAAAGGCAUCCUAAGAAAAAAGAUCAGAUGUUAGAUGACAAUGCUGCAAGCUCCAAGCUCAAAGUAUGAAAAUUGUAAUAGAAACUUAGUUAAUUGCUAUAUCUUACAACUCCAGUUUGCUCGACACGGUCAAUAAGUUCCUCCCAGCCAGCUUUGUUAUAUUCCUCCAUAAUUGAAGCAAUCAGAAUCCUGUCUGGAUACUCUUGUUUUAAUUGCUUGAAUUCUUUCAACAUGAUUUCAAGAGGUCGAUCACUUAUCAGUUCUAUGUUCUCCCACCCAAUAAUUUGCCCUUUGGGUGAGCCAUUUGCAUCUGCUCGUAGCCUAGCAUAUCGAGGAGUGACAUUUUUUACCUUUGCUGCGUCCAGUGACACCUAUCAAAACGUAAGUUAAGAUUGAAUGCAAAAAGUGCAACCCACAUAAAAGACAGAAAAUGACUCAAUAUCCAGCAAUGGAAAUGGUUCAGCUACGGAAAUGACCUCAAAAUUCGUUUUGAAGAAUUAAGGUCUGCAACAAAGUUCAGAAAAUGGGCUUUCCCCAAAAUCAAUGAAUCUGAAGAUGUUCAACAUUAUUGUCAAUUCAUUUUAAGUCAUUCAGGUAGAAUGGCACUAGCUACACAAAAUCAAAGAUAUCAAAAGCAGUACCUUUGCUAAACAAAUUCUGGAUUUUCACAUUCUUUCUUCCAAAUUUCUCAGUAACCAAACAAACAGAUGAAUAAGCUACCAUCAAUCAGCAGCACUAGCGCACAAUUUUGUAAUUCAAACUGACGAUCCAAACACAGAAAUAAAAGAAGAGCAAGACUUACAGUUUUGGCAAUCACAGCACCCCACCCUUCAUCAAACGCCCUCUUCAUGACCGUAUAGUUGGUACCGGGUGGACCGGAGCCAAUAACAAAGGGAUUGGGCAUGUGCAAACCAUUGACAGUAACACUAAGAUCAGGCUCUGCCUUGGCCUCAGACUCAGAGGCAAACACCCUAAACCCAACUCUGCUAGGCCGAGUCAAACCCAACUCAGGACGUGUCCUGGAAAAUUCAGCAACUGGGUUCUUGCCUCUGAUCUGAGUAAAACUGAGAGACGCCAUGGAUCAAGAAUUUUCAGCUAACUCUUGUGCAAGUAGUCUCGAGGUGUGAAUAACAAGACCGAGAAGAAGAAGAAGAUGAUGAUGAUGAAUCCGAGUUAAAAAUAUUCAGUGGGCUGUAUGAGAACGUGGAGUUAUAGGAAUCGAUUGCGUCUUCUAGCAUUUGGUUGAAUUUGAUGGUGCAAAGUUUGAAUAUUUUAAUCCCCGCAGAUUAGAUUAGAGGGACUGCAUGUUGAUGGUGACAGAUGGGAUUGGCAGAAGAUAGAUUAACUUCAUUUUUUACCAUUUUCGUUUGUUAACUCAGUCGCCCAAUGCUCCCUCACCCUGUGCGGCUGUGCCAAAUAAAAGGAUUCUACAACCAAAAUUACCAAAUCAAUUACAUAUUAAAAAAAUUAAAUUAAAUCCAAAUCUUUAUUAACUAAAAUAAGGAAUUUUUAUCAUUUUAUCCCGCUACCUCUAAAUCCUUUUUUCUUUUCAAUUACGUGAAGGCCAAAAUUAAAUUGCAGUCGGUACUGGACAUAUUGCAUGAGCAGUGACGCGUCAAUGCGACUGAACGAGUAAGAAACUCACGUGGCUUGCAAAAUCUGACGAAUUUUAUCCUUCUGGGCACUGAGGAGGAGGAGAGCCAACGCCCAACAAGUGUGAAUUGAAUUAUAAGAAUUUCAAGGCCCAAAAACAAAAGAGUUUCUAAGGCUUCGUAAUGCAGCUGGGCUAACUUAAUUGCUCCCAAAUAUAAAAAGGUCCAGUCCAUGUAAUUCAUUGAGUCAAGUUCACUAUGCCCAUUAAAAUGAGUUGGAUAGUCUCCUUCUUUUUCUUCUAUAUAUAUAAAGCAAAAGGCAGAGAAUAGUGAAACAUUCAAAAUAUCAGAAAAUGCCUUUGGUUAAUACAAACAUUAAGAAUUAAAAUUAUUAAUUAAAUGAGGAUAAUAUGGUAAAUUCACAAUUUUUCAUAUUAAAAAAAUUAAAAUUAAAAGAAAAUUCAGAUAAUAGAUCCUAUUUUUAUGGAACACAACUAUCCAUUAUCUUUUUUAAUUCUAAAAUAAAUUUAAAUUUAAAAAAAAAAAGCCUCUCGCAGGCGUAGAAGCGCGUACAGAGAGGCUAGUUUUAAUUAUCGAGGAUCUAUUCUUUUCUUUUUGAGUUUUUCGCAGCUAUGGUCUCUGAACUAUACCCGUAAUUACAUUUGGGUCGCUGAACUUAAUUAUUAGUUGCAGAGGUCACUUAACUGUGUGUUUCGUUGCACCGUUAGUCCUUACCGUCAAGUCUUUCUAAUAAAAGGGACUAAUGGUAUAACACAACACCUAAUUGAGUGACCUUUAUAACUAUUUUUUGGAGUUAAGUGACUAAAAUAUAACUCUGAGUAGAGUUGAGGGAUCAUUGCUACAAAUAAUCCUAGCUGAAAAGUCACAUUUGCCCAUCAAUAAUUGGAUAGAUCUUGCCACGUCAUCAUUUUAAACAGAAAAAACUAACGGACUUGACGGAAGGACUAUUGGUGCAACCAAACACAUAGUUGAGUGACCUCUGUAACUAAUAAUUGAGUUCAGCGACCCAAAUGCAGUUACGGGUAUAGUUGAGGGACCAUAGCUGCGAUAAACCCUUUCUUUUUUUGAGGUUUGCUACUAAACCUUUAUGGUUAGGGGACUUACUAACCCGAAGAUAAGGGGCGUAUUUUGUGCGACUUCAUCUACUAAGGAUAAAUGUGAACAUUUCAUACUAUGCCUCAUUUAAGAAGGUUUCAAUCAAACAACCAAUCACUUUAAUGCCUAACUUAAUUACAAACUCACGUUAUUAGACUCGGCUUAUUCUUUUAUUUUUUCAUUUGUCUAACAAGUAGUCGCUUUUUUCUUUAUGAAAAGAUUUUAUUUUUCUUAUAUAUUAUUUUAAUAUAUAAAAAAUGAAGGAAAUUCAAACUUAGAUAUCAGUGAAUAAAUUUAUUAUUUUGAACAACUGACAUCACCACAUAUGCAAUGAAUUUUACUUUUUUAGAAAGAAAGUUGAAAUGAAUAACAUUAGUUAAGAUAUUUAGAUGGUGACAUGAAACAUGAUUGAUGGCCCCUCAAGACUAAAGUUGGGGUGUAUCGUGAGACAAAGGGCGUUGCGGGUUCAUGCACGGGCAACAGGACAAGCUUUGAUUUUGACAUGUAUUUCUCAACUUUGAUCAUAUUUUUCUAUUUUUAUUUAUAGGAUCGAAGCUGUGGCGAAGCAGCACACCCAACUUUCGUGCCAUGAUGAUAUAGCAUACACUUGCGCCAAAUUUGUUAUCUACCGGAUUAGGUUGGCGUGGGCAGCAAUCAUAUAAUAAUAUAUUUAUAUGGACCACCAGAUCAUCUUCCAGCUGGAAAAAAACAACAAAAAUCAUUGAACGGCUAGGAUCGUUUCCCAAAAGAAAAAAGGUUUAUAAUCUUUAUCUGUGAUGUCACAUGUAUCUGCUUAGAGACGCAUGAACGGGCCAUAUUCCAUUUAUUUAUUAGCAACUUGGAACUUUGCCACUUGCCAGUGGAGGGCUACCUAGAAACCAACCUCAUAAGAUAUUCAUCCAGAUUGGAUAACAACAAACAAUAAUUAAGCACGUUGGUUGGACAUUAUCAUUGUUUAAUCUCAAUCCUUGUUGUUGGAUUUAGGGGUGAAUUGUUAGCAUCAAGAUCUAUUUAUUUCUUGCACGCUUUAGCCAAGCUCUUAAUUAAUUAAGGAAAAAUAUACAAAAGAAGAAGAAUUGGGGGUAACGAAAAGAUGGCAUAUUUUUUUAAAAAUUAAUAUAUAUAUAUAAUUUAUGAGAAAUGGAAUUUGAAGUUGGGAUAAAGAGAUGAGUCCACAAUUUUGAUCAAUUAUGAAGACGGAGAUUCGAAGUUGGGACAGGAAGACGAGUUCAUAGCUCUUGACCAACUGAACUAAUCUAUAUAUGCAAAAUUGACCAAAUUUUAAGUGUUUAGGUUUUUAAUUAAACUCUCUCACUGCUAAUUCCUACUAACUUCCUAUAUAGAUCCAAAUUGACUAGUCUAGUCUUGUACACUAGCUAAGCUAGUAUGGUUGAUCAAUUACGUACAACCUCUUUCUUCCUUUCAUAGUCAAAUCAUACUUGUAAUAAUCCUCGUGGUCUUUUCCUCGUCAAUUUCAACUUCUGAGUAUAUGCAACAAGUCUGACUUUUCUUUUCUAGUCACUUGGAAAGUCAGUUAAUUAAUUUGGCGAUGUUUAAGAGCCAUAAUUAAUCAAAGGAAUCAGAGUAAAUUUGAUUUCGAUUCUCUUAAAUGAAGUUUAAUCAACAGAUAAAGAUUGUGAGGAAUUAAUUAACUUGAUAAAGAAAGAAUCCGAAUUCGAAUCUGGCCCAGUAUAUACAUACAACUCAGAAACCUACAACGGUAACUAGCGUCCAAAAAUAUUAAUGCCAAACCCGGCGACCCGACUCCUAAUUACAGGCGGAUCCACUCGCACGGAUAUUCGACACUGGACAAUUGAACAACCCACCAUCAAGAAACGGAUACACUCGGAUCUUUACAGACGAACGGGUGGGUCAAAAGCUGAGCGGCCGUCCACCGUUUUCCGGACUCCUUCUGCAAGCAACACUCCAUGAAACUCCUGAACUCCUCCGACACCCCAUCGGGCAAGCUCGGCGGCUCUCCGAAACAUAUGGCGCACAUAAGGGUGGCCCAGUCGGGUCUCUGACCCGGAGGCAAGAACGGAAAGUGACCCAUGUAAAGCUCCAUCAGGGUCAGCCCCAGGCUCCAUAUAUCACUGGCGUAGCCGUUGUAAUUGCCACCGUAAGUGUCCGGGUCGAAUCUUUCCGGGCUCAUGUAAGCGCAAGUACCCACGUAGGAAUUGCAGGCGUCCAAGGUCCGGCACAUGAUCUUGCUCACGCCAAAGUCGGCGAUCUUCACUUCCAUGUUGCUGUUGACCAAAAGAUUGGUGGGUUUAAUGUCGCGGUGGAUGAUCUUGUGGGUGUGGAGGUAGUUGAGGCCGUUGAGAACUUGGCGGGCGACGUGGGCAAGCUUUGGCUCGGAGAAGGUGCCGUGGGCUUUAAGCAAGGUCUCGAGGGUGCCGGAGUCCAUGUACUCCAUGACGAUCCCGAUAUCUCCCGACGGCUUCUCAAAGAUUGCGUGGCAGCGGACGACGUAGGGAGAGUCCGUGCGGCGGAGGAUCUCCAUCUCGCGGAAGAUCUGACGGCGGACGGUGGGGUCGGAGUCGCCGUAGACGAGUUUGAGAGCGUAAGUGGUGGAAGUGCGCUUGUGGCGUACCUUGUAGACGGUGCCGCCGUUACCGUGGCCGAGGACUUGGAGUGUGUCGAGAUCGGCGGCGGAGAUAGCGGCGGAGGAAGAGUUGUUUGUGAGGGCGGUGGUGGCGGCGGCUGUGGGAGGAAGAGGAAGGGCGAAACGUGGGCGGCACUCGGAGGGUUCGGGCAAGGGUAGGCGGAGAUUAAGCUGUCGGCGUUCUCGUAUGAGAGCCAUUUGUUUUGGGGGUUUGUGGGUGGUGUUGGUGUGGAGUCGAGUACUUAUUUUUGUAUUCCUUUUUCCUUAUAUAAGUAAGGAGUGAGAAAAAAAGCACGUGCGGACCAAAGCAGCCGGCGUAGGAGGCUUCAUGGAUAGAGAGGAAGGAUAUGGGGUCCAAUUUUUUAAUAUUUUUAUUUUGUUUUAUAAGAGGAUGUGGGCUCCACUGUUGUAUAUACAAUUAUAGAUCUUUUAGGGGUGGAUAGGUGUGGUGUCCAAUUUUUUAGUGCUACUUGCUUAUGUGAGUUUAUCCACACGUGAUUUAAAGAGCAAGUGGCUAGCCUGCCACCUCAUUUUAAAACAAACCAAGCAACGAACCACUCAUUAAAAAAAAUAUAUAUUUAAAAAAAAAGACAAGCUAAUUCUUAAUUUGGUAUAUUUAUCUUCCCAAAUAGAAAAUUAGAUUCGUGUCAAUGGCUACAGGCGAACUUUAAAACAAACAAAUACAAUCCACCAACCAUAGCUAUGGGUCAGAAGAACUAUGAAGUUAGGUACGUUUUGAAGACUAUUCGUCAUGUACAGCGCCAAAUCACCCUCUAUGAUAUCAAGAUUCCAAUAUGCGUGAAUAAAUUAUUAACAGAUCACUCUCUUUUAUAACGAUUGAGUCACGUGGUUAAUAAUAAAAUUAAAAAUGGAGCUCAAUUAAAUUAAUUUUGUUUAGGGUUAGGAAAUUUGAGAGCUGAUGUGGAUCAUGGAUACAUUGAGUUUGUUUAGGUUAAAUAAAAAUUAGUUUGUUGUAAGAUUAGGAAGUUGGCUGUACAUUGAACUUGGUUUAAUCAAUGUACCUGAGGUGGCGCUGUGCUGUGCCCCUAUGUCUUAAUCAAUGUCCUUGUUGCGUCUCUUAAUUUUUAAUAUAAAAAAUCAGUUAUUUUUUCGUUUGUUUGUUUGAUUUGAUGUUUCAAUUUUGUUGGUAUUACUUAUAAAAUUGUAAGAUUAUAAGUACACGCACAUAACAUAUUUGAUAUGAGCAAUUAAAACAAUUAAAAUAACAUGAGUAAGUAUAUAUCCAAACGUGAAUUUCAAUUUAAAACGUUAUAAACGUAAUAGAUUAUUAUCCAUCACAUAAUCACAUUGGUGGAUUGAUGGCGAGACAAGAAUGGCUAUUCUAUUCUAUUGUAUUUAUAUAUAAAAAAAAAGAUUCCAAAUUUGCUAUUAUCAUCUAAAAUAUUGAUGACAAUAUUCAGUGCAUGAAAGCAACGUCAUCAUCAACAAUAAUAAUAUCAUGCCUGACAGUAGCGAGCUCAGAAGCCCCCCACCCCCCACCCCCCUCUCUCUCUAUAAGGAGCAAGUUGCACGUAACAUCAGCAGCAGUCCAUGAAAAAGUUUGAUUUAUUUAUUUGGUAAAUAACUCUGUGAGUUGUUGCUUGCUUCGCCCUCUACUUCCCUAUCAAUGUUUGGCGGUCCCAAAUUGUAUUCAGUGGCGCCCCGGCACUUGGACUGCUUAUGUCAAUUAAGUCCACAUCGUCAUUGUCUUCUUUUAUUGGUUCAGAAUAACUAUGUAAAGCCCAAAGGGUCAAGUAUGUUUUGAUUACUAAAGCCCAAACGCUUAACACCCAAAAUGUAGAGUAGACGGGAGGCCUGAGGAGGCCAACCAAACUGAAAAGAUAAGAUAGGCCCAAACUUAUUUGCAGGUAGGUUGGUUAUUAUUAGGAUUUGGAACAGAAACGUGUGAUUUGUUUGAGUUUGGUGAAUGAAUUGGGAAGCUCUGUAACUAGUAAGUUAGUAAUAGUAACUAUAACCUGAUGAUGAUUAAGUUAGUUAUCCAUUCACAGUUAUAAAAGUUUGAAGAAACACAAGACAAGACUAUUUAUAGAUAGGCAAGAUUAGUUUCUAGUUAUUCUAGGUUGUAACUUCACGUUUCUAGUUAGCAUCUUGUUACUGAGAGGUUUAAUUAGGGUGAGCUCAUGAUUAGUGUAUAUGUAUUAUCCCCAACACAACAGUAAUCUCUCUGGAGUUUUCUCAGAAUAUUAUUAAAAGCAAAACAAGGAAAAAGGUAAAAGGUAAAAGAUCUCCUCUUCUGCAGUUUUUCUUCAAAAUCUAGAUUGCGUUAGGUGGUGUCCCAUCCUCCGUCUGAAUAAAAGGUCAGUAUAAAUUCCAUGUCCACUCCCCUCCAUUGCAAGUUGUAUAUGCAUUCUUUUUCAUUAUGAUCAGAUCGAUAUGUCUUCAACUUUAAUUUGCAAGCAUCUUACUUACACAUGUACAAACAAAAAAUCACCACGCAUAGAUGCAGCAGAUAAUUGGACGGGGAAGAUUAAUUGGAUGUUCUAAAACAUUUGGAUACCUUAAACAUUGCCUGAGUGAACCGAAUUCAACCAAGGGAAGCUUUUCUUAUCUAAAAAGUACCAUUGCCUGGAUUCUUUUUGUCACCACAAAUUAAGUUACUGUUUUUGCAUUAAUUCCGAUAGUAUAUACAGCACUGGCAUUAAUUACAUGUUGGCCCUCCCUCCUUUCACUUUCUUCUCUUUCUUGACACAUAUAGAUAUGGCUAGCUAAUAAAGUAUAGGUGUUGGACAGGACAUUAUAUUAUUGGUUUCAUUUGAAAAAUUGAGAGAGAGAGAGAGAGAGAGAGAGGGAGAGGGAGGGGUGAAAAAUGCAUGGAGCUGAGAGAAGAAGAUCAACAUCCUCAGGAGGAGGAGGUGAUCAUCAUCAUCAGGAUAAUCAUGAUGAUGAGUAUGAUGAAGAUGGAGAGUCGCCGUUUGAGGUUGAGGAUGAGGUGGAGCUUUCAACAACACCCUGGUGGUGGUGGUGGAAAAGGCGUUUCACUUUCAGCAAUACCGACUCCAGUCUUACAACUACUGGUUCUAGAUCAUCUGCUGCAUCUUCCUUUUUCGAUCGUCUCGUCAUUCAUCCUGAUAACUGGUAUGUAUGGUACUUUCAAUUUCUGUCUAUUAGCUGGUUUAAAUUUCUGCGCAUGAAACACCAUGGUCCAUGGUGUUGUCCUUUGCCUCGGAUGCAGCCAUAAUUCUAAAAUGUGGUCUACAAUUAAUCCUGAGAAACCUACUUAUUUUAUCAUUACGAAAUUAAGUAUUAUUAUAUAUUCUACAUACGAGAGGAGUGGUGGUGUAAAUUUGAGCAAAUUGAACAUAAGAUUUUGGGUGCAUAGUCAACGUUUUUAGUCAUUUGAACUACAAAUUUUUUGCAUGUAAUUCACCUUAUUAGAACACAAAAAUCUCCAUUUUAUUCAUGAAUGAUAUACUUAGUAUAAUCUUUGUAAACAUUAACAUUUUGUUGUAAACAAUGUAACGACAAUACUACUCUCUUGAAAUUUGUAGGCCAAAAUAGAAACCUUUCACUAUAAUAUUUUGUUCUCUCUCUAUCUUCAUACAUUUGGGUGAAAGAGAGAAAAGGUGAAAUCACGGAAUUCAUGACUUUCUAUAGAACUUACAAGAAAUACUUUUUGAUGCACAUAAGGGAGAGAGAGAAAAAAGAAAACACAAAAGGCAAAAAGGAACUUUAAGUUGGGCCGGUUCAGUUCAGGUCCAAAGUUGUAGUACGUAUAGUCCAAAAUUGGGCUUGGGAGUUAUAUUUUAGGAUAAAGAAGUAAGGAUAGGGCCCACUUCAUAUUUUGGCGCGAAUACAAGCUCGUCCGCUCCAGGCUACCUUCAGGCCUCUGUGUACGGUUGUGAUGUGUGGUUUAAAUGAGGCAAAAACUGUGUAGGUCAAGUGAAGAAGUUGUUAAUGGUGGAAUUGGAAAUGCAGGUGGUACGUGGCGUGGACGCAUUUCAUUCUAAUAUGGGCAGUCUACUCGUCCUUCUUCACCCCCUUGGAGUUCGGCUUCUUCAGAGGUCUGCCGGAGAAUCUCUUCCUGCUCGACAUCGCAGGCCAGCUCGCCUUUCUCAUCGACAUCGUCGUCCGCUUCUUCGUCGCCUACCGCGACUUCCACUCCCACCGACUUGUCUACAAUCGCAACCUCAUCGCCCUCCGCUACCUAAAGUCUCGCUUCCUCCUCGAUUUACUGGGUUGUCUGCCUUGGGACGCCAUCUACAAGGUAAGCUAGGGCUACAAUUAAUUAACUUCAAUUUCAAAUAUUAAUUUAAUUUAAUAAAUGAUAUCUGAUCUUAAUUGCAUUGCAUUGCAGGCUUCUGGAAAAGAAGAGGGUGUGAGGUACCUGUUGUGGAUACGUCUGAGCCGAGCAUGCCGAGUGACAGAGUUUUUUGAGAAGCUUGAGAAAGAUAUAAGGAUCAACUACCUUUUCACAAGAAUUGCCAAGCUUUUUGUUGUGGAACUUUACAGCACACAUACAGCUGCCUGCUUCUUUUAUUAUCUGGCCACAACCAUGCCUCCCUCCCAGGAGGGAUACACUUGGAUUGGAAGCUUGAAGAUGGGUGACUAUAGCUAUUCCCAUUUCCGAGAGAUUGACCUCUGGAAGCGUUACAUCACCUCACUCUAUUUUGCCGUUGUUACCAUGGCCACUGUUGGUAAUUAAUCAAUUAAUUAAGCUUCUUAAUUCGUUUCUUAUUAUGUAUCCCUGAUUUAUUUUCAAGAUGGGUCAUAAAUGAGUAUGCUUUUUCCUUUUUUGUUUUCCAGGAUAUGGAGAGAUACAUGCAGUGAAUGUGAGGGAGAUGAUAUUCAUCAUGUUUUAUGUGUCUUUUGACAUGAUUCUUGGUGCUUAUCUGCUGGGUAACAUCGCUGCAUUGAUUGUGAAAGGAUCGAAAACAGAAAAGUUUAGGGACAAGAUGACUGAACUAAUCAAAUACAUGAACAAAAACAGGCUUGACAGGGGCAUAAGUAAGGAAAUUAAAAACCAUUUGAGGUUACAGUAUGACCGUAGCUACACCGAAGCCACUGUUCUUCAGGACAUUCCAGCCUCUAUUCGCAGCAAGGUAGUUGUUUAAAUUGAGGCUGAAAACUAUGGAUUCCGAAUUUAAUCAAAUAAUCUCUUUCUUAUUCUUGGUUUAAGAGAACAAGCUUGUUGAAUGGUUUUGCUUCAUUUGGUGAACUAUGAAAACAAGAAUGUCAUCUUAGAUGUUCACCUUCUAUCGUCUUGUCUUUAAAGUAUUAAUAUAAAGAUAACCAACAUAUGAGUUUACUGGUGGCCAAGUAGUAUACACUAUACAGUUAGGAUCUUAAUUUUGAUUGGCAUACUGCUGAUUGUGAAACUGUACUAAAAUCUAUUGUUUCUUCUUUGCAGAUUUCGCAGAAAUUAUAUGAGCCGUACAUCAAAGAAGUUCCUCUGUUUAAGGGGUGCUCUUUAGGCUUCAUAAAGCAGAUUGUAAGUCAUUGUCUUCGGUAACUUUAUCCUAUCUGACGAGCAACAUACUGUCAUCGUUGGAUAUUUUCAUCACCUUUGAUUAUUCAUAACAUAAAUGUUAACAAUUCUAAACUUCAAUUCUUUUACAGUACAGGAAUCUAACCUAUGUUUCUGGUUUUAUCAGGCAACCAGAAUUCACGAAGAGUUUUUCCUUCCACCAGAAGUUAUUAUAGAGCAGGGGCAAGCAGUUGAUCAACUAUACAUAGUAUGCCAUGGUGAGCUGGUAUGAAUUACAAAUUUAAUUGUUUAGUCCCAUUAUGUCUAUACCUUUAUUCUGUUUUUAAUGCAUUUGCAGUACUGUGUUAUUUGUUCUCAAACAUAAUAAAGUCACUCUGUCCAAAAUUAAUUGUAUCAGUUUCUCAAACAUUGAUCUUUGUGCUGCUCUUAGUAUAACACAUAACCUGAACUCAUAUGAAUAAUAAUAUGUUAUCAUGCAUUCAUUUGCAGGCUGAACUCAAACCCUUCUGGUUGGGCUGGCUGCUACCUUUUGGUUAUAUAUAAUAAAGCAAGCCCACACAAACAUAAAACUAGGAGCUUUGUAGCAUACAUGCAAGGCUACGCAGCUGCAUGCACACAUGACCCACCCUUCUCUGUUUUCCUAUAUUCAUUCUUUUAUGUUUACAUUUAUAUAUUCAUUCAUUGACCCUUUAGUAAAGGGUAAAAUAAUAGUUACUCUACGUAGUCUAUGCUUACCACAAUAUGUAUUUUUGAAUUAUUAUGUCUAAUAGAUCUGAUAUUGUCUACAGGAGAAGUUGGGAAGGGAUGAAGAUAAUGAAACUGAAGAGCUCCUUGAGCGUCUGCAAACCUAUAGCUCAUUUGGUGAGGUUUCCUUUCUUUGUAACACUCCCCAGCCGUAUGCUGUUCGGGUUCGUCAACUGUGCAGGGUCUUGCGACUUGAUAAACAAUCCUUUAGAGAAAUCUUGGAGAUGCAUUUUUUAGAUGGGCGCAUUAUCCUAAACAACCUCAUUGAGGUAAUAGACUUGGAAAUUUUUGUAUUCUUCUUUUUCUUGCUUCCACCCACAAGAGAUGCUGAGUUGUGCCCAUGCACUUUGCAAAUGAAAAAAAUUAAUUCCAUAAGCUCACUUCUCAACUUACAGGGAAAAGAUUUGAAUACCCGGAACAAGCUUUUGGAAUCAGAUAUCAUACUAUAUAUUGGAAAGCAUGAAAUGGAGUUAAUUAUGAAAGUAAAUUGUGCUGCCUAUGAUGGAGAUUACUAUCGAGUAAAGCGUUUGAUUGGAGCAGGAGCAGAUCCAAACAAGACGGAUUAUGAUGGAAGGUCGCCUUUGGUAUGAAUCUAGAUGCCCAAGCUACUAAUUGAUAUUUAUAAAUUAGAACAAUGGUGCCAGAAUAACAUAAAUAACUUCUCUUUGAUGACACCCCUGCUCAUAUGUAUGUGUGUGGUUUACUUCAUCUUUAUUUAUUUCCCGCAGCUUGUUGCAGCAUCGAAAGGGUAUGAAGAUAUUAUUGGUUUCCUUAUUGAUCAAGGAGCAAAUGCUGAGAUUUCAGGUGAUCUUCUAACGAGCUCUGCUAAAAAAUUCAACUGGAUCAUGUAUUUUCUGAAGAAAUCUUACUAGUUACUACUACUAUUGUUGAUUAACCCUGAUUGUUACUGUAAUAUUAGAUAAAUUUGGGAACACUCCGUUGCUUGAAGCCAUUAAAAAUGGGCACGAUCAAGUAGCUUCUUUACUUGUUAAGGCAGGGGCGUCGCUUACUAUUGAUGACGCUGGUGAAUUUCUCUGUAUUACGGUAGCAAGGAGGAGUUUGAACCUUCUGAAAAGGCUCUUAGCCAAUGACAUUAACCCAAAUGCAAAAAAUUAUGAUCAGCGAACAGCACUUCAUGUAGCUGCUUCAGAAGGCUUAUAUCCUAUGGCAGAGUUCCUUUUAGAAGCGGGAUCAAGUGUUCUAUCAAAAGACAGGUACAAUCUGAAUGUUCAUCUGGUUUGUGAGGCAUGGAUGACUGACCUUAUGGUCUUCUUGAGACUACUGUUUAAAUAUCAGCCCAAUUGUGUAUACCUAAAAUUAACAUGAUUACUGCCUUCUUUCUGCAACCAACAUGUUUAAAACCAUUUAAUAGGCGAAUUUAGCUCCUUAAAAAAAAGUAAUUCCAACAUGCACAUUUAUACUUUCUAAUUAGUCUACGUCCUGAUUGCAGAUGGGGAAGAACUCCACUUGAUGAAGCCCGUAUAGGUGGAAAUAAGAAACUAAUCAAACUGCUUGAAGUUGCUAGAGCUUCGCAGUUGUAAGAGUUCUCUAAUCAAUAUCAUCAAGAAACUAACUAAGCAUUUCUCUGAUCAAUGUGUAUUAUCAGUAACGCAUUUAUACUUGAUUAAAUGAUGAAGUGUUAUAGGAAGUGGAACAAAAGUUCUAAGAUGUUGAUAUAUGUGUUGAGAAUUUUUGUUAGAAUCUUUAAUUACCCUUUCGAUUUUCUAAUCUGCGUAGCGUGGAAUUGAUGGAUUAAACUAUUAUUUUUUAUCUGGCUUGGCAAUCCUCACUUGUCUUAUAAAAAUCAAGGACCCGAGUGAUUAAUUAAUUAAAGCUCUUAAAUAUGGAAGUAAUGCAUGAAUGCAUCAAGUUAUCUGGAUCGGAAUAGUAAAACGAAAGAAGCACAACUUUUAUUCCCACAGAUGGUCUUAGUAGCUGGCUAUAGGUUACAUAAAUGCAUGGAUGCAUGAGCAGCAGCUGGAUGCAUAUUAUUGAAACCCAAAUCACAAGAAGAAAACUUAAGAAAAUGCCACUUUCGCAGGGAAAGCGAUUGCAUUUAGCGUAUGCAUUAUGCCUUUUUAACCCAUAGGUGACCCUGAUGGGACGAGUGAAGUUUCGUGAGGGUUUAUCAUGCAGGCUUUUCUUCUUUCUUGUGCUUAAGUUAUAGAAACUGACACCAGUGUAAAUACCACCUUCCUUGGGCCUCUAGGGUAACUGUAGGGAGGGCUGCAUUCAGACAACUUUUCUUGGCAUCAGUCAACCUCUUGCAGAAAUUGUUGUUGCCCAGGUUGCGAAGAGCUACAACGACAUUGACGUCGUUGAUGUUUGUCUGAGUUUUUGUUGGCGGUGUCGUUUGAGUCAGCCGAAAUCCAGUUGUUAAUACUAUUAUCAGGGCUAGUGUUACGCCUCCGGAAGUUUUGAGUGUGAGUGGACUUUAUGCGAACACUGUGAUCUCCGGCAAUGAAGACCUCGUUUUCCACCUUCGGAUCAGUAGGAUCAGUGGCUGAGAACUGCAAAUAUGGGUGUCCAUCCAUGGAUUGAGAUAGUUGCCAUUGUCGCCUUUGAAGGCUAUAUGCUUGGGCAAAAUCACCAAAGCUUCCCAGUCGAUGACCGUGUAGACAUCAAAGUUUUGGCUGUCUGGAGUUGCUUUCCUUGCAAAGAGGCAUGCCUGGAAGUUGUUUGCGGAGAAUAGAUCUAAAUAGUGACAGAGUUGCACAAGGCGCAAUCAGAUUAGGGCGAUGCUGCCGCUGCUGUUGUUGUCUGCUUGGAGUUGAAAAAGCUCAGGCUCGAAGAGCGUACAUGACCAAUGGGAUUGAUCUUCCUGUGGCUCUCGUCAGCCUCGGCCACAAUCUACCAAUGGUUUUGGUCCGCAUUGCUCUUGCUGCCAAUCCCAUCUUUCACGCACUCACGAAGCAUAUUGAAAUCGAUUAUCACUUCAUUCGUGACUUGUUUCCUUCCAAAGCAAUUUAUCCAACAUUUUCCCUCUCAACAGCAACUUGCGGACAUCUUCACCAAGGGUCUCUGCACAAACCAGUUUCUCAUUCUCAGCUCCAAGCUAAUCACUCGUCAUCCUCCUAUUCGCUUGCGGGGGUUGGGGGUGUUCGCUUGCCGGGGGACAUAGAGCUGACCUCAUAAUAUCAAGACCUCAAUAUUUCUAAGGAAAACGGCUGACUCAAUAUCAAUCCUACACUUGUCCAUAUUCUUUGUAACCAACUUUAGCUCUAAAGAAAUCUACGGAAUAUAUCAAUAUACUAGGAAAUACUGUACUCAUUUGACAUAGAGUGGAAACAGAGAAAAUAUACUUAAAUGAUUAUUUUUCUUUCUUCUCAUAUUUCCAUUAUACAAAGUAAAAAAUUAACUAUAAUUAUGUAUAUGGACACGUGCUAUGUUGCAUGGAUACGAACGCGGGGACAUAAAAUGCAUCUUCAAGACAUUCCAGCCUCUAUUCGUAGCAAGCUAGUUGUUUAAAUUCCAGCUGAAAACUAUUGUGAAACUGUACUAAAAUCUUAUUGUUUCUUCUGUGCGGAUUUCACAGAAAUUAUAUAAACCAUACAUCAAAGAAGUUCCUUUGUUGAAGGGGUGCUCUUUAGGCUUCAUAGGCAGAUUGUAAGCCAUUGUCUUCGGUAAUUUUAUCUGAUCUGAUUAACAAAAUAGAAAAUUUGGGAUAAAAUUUAGAACAUAAGUUGAAUUUAAUCCUCUUGCAGAAAUUGUUGUUGCCCAGGUUGCGAAGAGCUACAACGACAUUGACGUCGUUGGUGUUUGUCUGAGUUUUUGUUGGCGGUGUCGUUUGAGUCAGCCGAAAUCCAGUUAUUAAUACUAUUUAUCAGGGCGCGCAGAGCUGACCUCAUAAUAUGAAGACCUCAAUAUUUCUAAGGAAAACGGCUGACUCAAUAUCAGUCCUACACUUGUCCAUAUUCUUUGUAACCAACUUUAGCUCUAAAGAAAUCUACGGAAUAUAUCAAUAUAAUAGGAAAUACUGUACUCAUUUGGCAUAUAGUGGAAACAGAGAAAAUAUACUCAAGUGAUUAUUUUUCUUUCUUCUUUUUAUUCCUUCCUUUAAUUUUCUUCUAGCAUUUUCAGAUUCUAUAUAUAAGUUUCUAGUGAGUAUUUUCCUCUCCACUUUAACCCAAUGUGCAUCUUCACUAGUACUAUACUUCUUCACACUUGACACGUGUUCAUAUGCAUAACCAUGGUUCCAUCAUACAAAGUAAAAAGUUAAUCAUAAUUAUACAUAUAGACACGUGCUAUAUUGCAUGUCCCCGGACGCGUCUUCAAGACAUUUCAGCCUCUAUUCGCAGCAAGCUAGUUGUUUAAAUUUCGGCUGAAAACUAUUGUGAAACUGUAUUAAAAUCUUAUUGUUUGUUCUUUGCAAAUUUCCCAGAAAUUAUAUGAGCCGUACAUCAUAGAAGUUGCUUUGUUUAAGGGGUGCUCUUUAGGCUUCAUAAAGCAUAUUGUAAGCCAUUGUCUUCAGUAAUUUUAUCUGAUCUGAUUAACAAAAUAGAAAAUUUGGGAUAAAUUCAAAAUUUAGAACAUAAGUUGGGUUUAAUCUUCGCAUUUGUUGCCAUUGAUACAAGUCCUUUGACUUCUCUACCAAAUAGGAUUGCAUUCAUUGUGUAGAAAUUAAUUUAUAGGACCAUAAUUACGAGAUUUUAUUUUGAUUUUAAUAUAGGGAUGUAUAUAGGUUAAUAAAUCCCAUAAUUUGAGGACAAUUUAUUUUGGAAAUACAACAAAAUAACAAUUAUUGUCUUUGUUCAUCCUAUGGUAGAGGUAUAUUGUAUACUCUUGUAGAUAUAUUAUUCAAUGGUGUAGGUAUAUUGUCCUAUUGCCUAUUGCAUAGGUAUAUAUGUGCGUGUGUGUGUGUGUGUUUGUUUUUUUGUGUGCAUAUUUUUGACAAUGUGUAAUAGUAUUUUAUAUACUUUUUUUUUUAUAGGAAACAUACAAUUUUAUUUGUCUAUUUUGUUAUAUGACUUAUAGAUGGUCUUCUAAUUUAUGUUCCUAACUUAUAGGUAGUCUUUUAAUUUAUGUGUCAAACUUAUAGUUAACACGAUUUUUCACUAAGUUUUUUUCGUUGCUAAUAAUAACACUAUUUUUACUUGUAUGUCAUGUACAUAAUUUCAUGUGAGUGCUUGUCUGAUUGAUUGGUAUAAUACGUGGGUCUUUACUUUUCAUUGAUUAAAUUGUAUUUCAUCCAUAAAUUAGGUAAAUAUUAUCAAGGAAAGAAUUCAAAAUUUAAAUUCUGAAAUUCAAUUACAAGGAAAUAAUGCAUUAAAUUUAGAUUUUCAAUGUGUUUUCCUUAUUUAACUCAAAGGGUAAAAUCGACACAACAAAAAAAGUGAUAAAUGUCAAAUGACUUACAUUUAAAACCAAAAACUCAUGGGCUAAAUCUAAUAGUGGCUAAUCGUUUUAGAGCUAGAUCUAAGAAGCCCUUAACAAAAUGAUGACAUCGUUGGAUAAUUUCUUCACCUUUGAUUAUUCAUAAUAUAAAUAUUAACAAUUCUAGACUUCGCUUCUUUUAUAUAUAGUAGAGGAAUUUGAUGUAGAAUAAAUGGUUGAAUGGAUUGAAAAAGAAUUGGAGCGAAAAGGGAAAAAGGGGGCAACAUGAAUUUACAGAUUUAGCGUCCGAUCUCCGAUUGGAUUGCAUAAUAUCUUCUUGAAAAUGGAAUGACGCCAUGAGUCCAACUGACAGCUUUGGGAUAUAUGGUGGAGUUUGGGCUUCUGAGGUCGUUUGUCCUUCCAAAAGUGCAUUUAAAAUUACAUUCAAUUUACAGAUUUUCUGUUUCUUUUUUGUUAAGUUUUCAAUAACUCCCCAUGGCAGUCCAAUGGGUGAGAAGGUUGUAUUUACUCAGCCGUCAUGCUUGAAUUGAUCUCAAGUUUUAUCAAAUAAUACAAAGAGAAUUUCUCUCUGAUUUCCUGGUGAAUUUCAGAUUAUUAUUUUUUAGGAUUUUAGCUUGAAAAUCUAUUUACUUGUGCUGCUUCAGAAUCUAACCUAUGUUUCUGGUUUAUCAGGCAACCAGAAUUAAUUCAUGAGGAGCUUUUCCUUCCAGCAUAAGUGAUUUAUAGAGCAGGGGCAAGCAAUUGAUCAACUAUACAUAGUAUGCCAUGGUGAGCUGGUAUGAGUUACAAUUUUACUUGUUUAGUCCCAUUAUGUGUUAUACCGUUAUUCUGCUUUGCAGUACUGUGUUACGUGUUCUCAAACAUAAUAAAUGUUAAUUUAUUAAGGGCUCGUUUGGUACACAGGACUGUCUUGGCAUGGACUAUGCUUAGGGACUGACUUGGCUUGGCUUAGCUUGGUCUAAGUUGGAUAACACUUAUCCUGCGUUUGGUGUAUGCUUGGACUAGGACUAUGAUUUUUUUAUUUUUUCAAAAAUAUCUAUAUAUAUGUAUAUAUGUAUUUUAUAAUAUAUAUAAUAUAUAUGUAUAUACAUGUAUAUAAGUAUAUUAUAAUAAUAUUAUAUAUUUUAAAUAAUAUAAACGUACAUACAUAUAUAUAAGUGUAUAUAGGUGUAUAUAUGUAUAUUAUAAUAUACAUGGGUAUAAUACAUAUAUACAUAUAUUUAUAUAUAUAUGUAUGUAUAUUAUAAUAUAUAAUAUAUAUAUGGGUAUGUUAUAAUAAUAAUAAUAAUAAUAAUAUACAUGUAUAUAUGUGUAUAUAUGUAUAUUAUAUAUGUAUGUAUAUAUACAUAUAUAUUAUAUAUAUAUUACAAAAUACAUAUGUAUAUAUAAUAUAUGUAUAUAUAUACGUAUAUACAUGUAUAUAAUAUAUGUGUAUAUAGGUGUAUCUAUAUAUUAUAAUAUAUACAUGGGUAUAAUACAUAUACAUAUACAUAUGUAUAUUAUAAUAGAUAAUAUAUAUGGGUAUGUUAUAAUAAUAAUAUACAUGUAUAUACGUGUAUAUAUGUAUAUUAUAAUAUAUAUAUAUAGUAUAAAUAUAUAAUGUAUAUGUCUAUAUACGUGUGUAUAUGUAUAUUAUAAUACAUACAUGGGUAUAAUAUAUACACAUAUAUGUAUAUAUACUUAUAUAUAUGUAUUAUAAUAAUAUAUAUUACAUAUAUACAUGUAUGCUAUUAUUAUAAUAUUAAUAUGCAUGUGUAUAUGGGUAUAUUAUAAUAAUAAUAUACAUGUAUAUAUCUAUAUGUAUUUAUAUAUUAUAUAUGUAUAUAUAUGUGUUUAUAUAUACAUGUAUAUACGUGUAUAUAUGUACAUUAAUAUAUAAUAUAAUAUAUAUUACAUAUAUACAUGUAUACAUGUAUGCUAUUAUUAUAAUAUUACUAUGUAUGUGUAUAUGAGUAUAUUAUAAUAAUAAUAUAUGUGUAUAUAUCUAUAUGUAUUUAUAUAUAUUAUAUAUGUAUAUAUGUGUAUAUAUAUACUUGUAUAUGUGUAUAUACAUGUAUAUAUGUACAUUAUAGUAUAUGUGUAUAUAAUAAUAAUAAUAAUAGUAAUAUAUGUUAUUAGUAUUACAAUAUAAUAUAUGCAUCUCAUACAUUGGUAAACAUAGGACUAGCUAAUCCUCCCUUUCUACAUGGGAUUAGUAGUCCCCUCCUAAGGAGGUGUUUUUGGUGGGCCCGGUAUUAGCAAUCUCAUCUAAGACUAGAAUUAAAUGAAACAAACGUGGUACUAAAUUUAAUCCAAACCAAUCCAAGCCAAGCCUGUGUACCAAACGACCCCUAAAUGUUGUUUCAAUUCAAUUUAGCAUCAAAACAAUUAAAUGUUGGCCAAACAUUCAAAGCAUUAAGCAUGGUAAUAAAUACUCAAGAUGGAAAAAAUACUUGGAAUUAACAUCGACUAAAGUAAUUGAGUAUUCAUGGCUAGGCUACAUCGUAGCCCUAGCAAGAAGAAAUUAGUUCAUGACAACUUUAAUAAAAACCAUGAUAAAUAGUAUCAUAGGAAAGAAGUAACCAAUUGAAGAUUUGAUCUCUGCACGACAGCAACUCUAGCUCCAGGUUGUCUUCUUUGUCUCUCUAAAACUCUCUCAACAAUAGAUGAUGGGUAGAUGAUGGAGGAUGGAUGAUGGGUAAUGGAUCCUUUCAACAAUGACCUAAACUCCCUAUUUAUAAAACUCCUAGAAAUCCUACCUAAGGAAUAAUUACAAUUGUUAUAAAAAUAGGAUUCCUUCUAAAAUAAGGUCUUCUUUAUUUCUUCUUGUUUGACUUGAUAAGACUUGCACCAUCUUGAACUAGGAAAUUUGACAACAUUCCUUGCAACAAAAGGAAUGACUUGGCUUCUUUUUAAUUGAUCUUCAUCUCCUUGCCUUUUUUAGCACAUUUUCUCCUAUUUCACAAUUCCUUCACAAAUCUCACAAAACCAAUUAAAAACAACCAAUUUAAUCUAAAAAAUUAAUAAAUAAAUAAACAAAGGAGGCAUAAAAUAUAUAUAUAUAAAAUAUAGACUUAUCACUAUAUAUAUAUUCUUUACAAAAAUUUAAAGCUCCUUAAAGCCCAUAGAAACCGGUAAAGUCACAGUUUUUUUGACUUUUGAAUAUGGGCAAUACACGAGAAGAUGGACAGUAUUUUGAUAACUCUGUUUAGACUAAAAGCUAAGGACUGUCUAUUAACAAAUAAUUCCAACAUGCAACCUUUUUAAUUAGUCUACUUCCUGAUUGCAGAUGGGGAAGAACUCCACUUAAUGAAGCCCGCAUAGGUGGAAAUAAGAAACUAAUCAAACUGUUUGAAGUUGCUAGAACUUUGUAGUUGUCAGAGUUAUCUAAUCAAUAUCAUCAAGAAAUUAGCUAGCUAAGCAUUUCUCUGAUCAAAAUGAUAAAUUGUCGAUCGGCAAUACAUUUAUCCUUUGAUUAAAUGAUAAAUGUUUAUAAGACUUGGAACAAAAGUUCUGAGAUGUUAUAUGUGUGAAUUUUGUUAGAAUCUUUAAUUCUCUUUUCGAUUUUCUAAUAUGCGUACCUUGGAAAAUAUGAAUUGAACUAUUAUUAUUGUUGAUCUGACUUGGCAAUUCUCAGCGUCAAUUAUUCUUACUAGGCUUGUAAUAAUCAAGGAUCGAGUAAUUAAUUAAUUAAAGCUCUUGAAUCAUGGAAGUAAUGCAUGAAUGCAUCAAGUAAUCCGGAUCAGAAUAGUAAAACCAAAGAAGCACAACUUUUAUUCCCGCAGAUAGUCUUAGCCUAGGUUACAUAAAUUAAUGCAUGAAUGCAUGAGCAGCAGCUGCAUGCAAUAUUAUUGAACCCAAAUCACAACAAAAGGAAAACUUAAGACAAUGCCACUUUCGCAGGGAACGCGAUUGCAUUUAGCGUAUGCAACAAGCCUUUUAAACCUAUAGGUGACCCUGAUAGGACGAGUGAAGUCUCGUGAGGGUUUCCAGUGACGCUACCCACAAACAUCGUAUUAACUUAACAGGAUGAUCAUCCUGGAAGUUUUUCGACAAUGAAGAAAUGUUCAUGGGUGGGGCCUCCAGGUUCUGCAAUGAGGGCAUUUUCGAACUCGUUUCCAGAUUUUGGCUUUAAAAGGUUUCCCAUUUUCUCAUGGUGGAACUUGUAUAUGCCUUCGGUGUACGGUCCUGGUGGUUUCACAACCUCAGGCUUGAAGAGUGUACAUGACCACAGCGUUUUAUUUGGCUGUUUCUCGUCAGCCCCGGCCACAAUCCACGAACUGUCUUGGCUUGCCGUUAUCCAGUAUUUGUCGUUGUAGGUGGAUUUUAUAUGCACCAGACUGGGGAGGUUUACGUCCUUCUCCACUUUGAACCUUGCGUAUUUGCUCUGAACAUCCUCUCCGGAGCAUUGGAGAAUAUCUUGCAUCUUUUCGGUGGCUUGGUCUUUGUAGACCAAGUAUUUACCGCUCGUGAAUGAUUUAAGAGCAAUGAACUUUGGUAAUUCUGCCAUUUCUGAUGAUCUCUCGCUCGCGCUUCAAUUUUUUUUUAUGUAAACUCACUUCUCUCUCUCUCUCUCGUUGCUUAUUGCUUUUCCUAACUCCAACCUGCUGUGCUAUUUAUAAUCAAGCAAACCCAAACCCUGCAUGCAGCUCUGGCUUCUUUUUCUUGCUGUACUGGCCCGCGAUAAGAAAAUUGAAGCCACAAAAAAAAAAAGUCGAGCCAGGUGGCAGUUUUGAAAGGUCAAGUAAUAUUGUUCUUGAUAUAAAACAAACUAAAGCGUGCUCCACGUCUUCAAAUAAAACAAAGUUAAGGCUAGUAAUUAUCGACAUCGAUAUUUUGCGAUAUUAUCGUCGAUAUUGUCAAUAUUUAUACGAUAUGUACAUGGAUAUGUUUCGAAAUAUCCGUGAUUCAAAAAAACCGAAAUAUCCUCGAUAUUUCCUCGAUAUUAUCGAUAUUUCAGACUAUGAUGUGAACUUGAUUAUGUAAUUUCUACUACAUGCACUUAUGGGACAUAACCAUUUAUCAAUUAUAAUAAUGUCACAUAAAAAUUGAAGCCACAAAAAAAAAAAAGUCAAGCCAGGUGGCAGUUUUGAAAGGUCAAGUAAUAAUGUUCUUGAUAUAAAACAAACUAAAGCGUGCUUCACGUCUUCAAAUAAAACAAAGUUAAGCCUAGUAAUCUAUUCUCUGUUGUAAUGUGAACUUGAUUAUGUAAUUUCUACUACAUGCACUUAUGGACAUAACCAUUUAUCAAUUAUAAUAAUGUCAUCGACUAGGACUGAACAGCGACGGCUGAAGGCCCAGCUCAUUCUUAAUCUUAGGCAACACAUGUGCUGGGUUUCAUUUCAUAAAUUCAUAACCAAACCAAGCUAGGUCAUAGAAGGAAGCAAAUUAAGCAAUUGAAAUCCACAUCGGCUGAAAAAAUCUCUCUUGAAAAACCAUAUAAUUGGAGGGUCUGCAAAACUAGACUGUGUGUACGUAGCCAACUUUAUUAAAAUGCCAAUUCAAGUCCUAUGAACACACAUUUCCUUGAAAGUUGCUGGCCAAAUUUUCUUUGUUUUGGUUUUCAAUGAGUUCGAUUUCCUUGAGCAUCACUGAAAAGAUAUUAUAUAUGUGAAAUCUUUUUGUCAGUCUUUGAAUUUACCCAAUGUGGGUGAUCAAUUUUUAUGAUUGCAUUCUAGACUUCUCCUUAGUACAAAACAAAACUACGUGAUUGAUUGAAACGUCAUUAAUUAAUUUAGACAUAUAGGCAUUUGCAUUAAUUCAUUCUAGAUAGUAGAUACACAUCUCCAUAACGCAGAAAGAAUUAGCAUGUCCUUAAUGUGAACUUCGUUAAUAAAUUGAAGAGGAGUUGGAGAACAGUUAGAUGAAUGAAUUAAAGAGGAGUUGGAGAGACGCGGAUGCAAGGGCACACUAAGAAAACUACAGGGUUUAUUUAUAGUUUUAGUGCUAAUAAUGGGUAUAUGACUAAAUAUCUCUAUAAAAAAAAUUAGUGAAUUUAAUCAGAAUGUAAUGACUUAUAGAAUUUUACCUUGGGGCACUUUAAGUCCGUUCCUCCUUAAUAAAGCAUCACUUAAUAGAUUUGAAUUAUGAGCUGAACCCUCCCACCCGCUAAAAACGUAAAUGAAUUCUAAAUCAAAGUUACAAGCUACUGAAACCAUUUAUCAAUUAUAAUUAUGUCAUUAAUUAGGAUUGAACAAUAUGAUUGUAAUGCCAUUUCUAAAGCGUGCUUCACGUCUUCAAAUAAAACAAAGUUAGGCCUAGUAUUUUCUUCUUUAUUGUUUCGGUGCUUAAUGUGAACUUCAUUAUGUAACUUCUAUUACUUGUACUUAAGGGCCAUAGCCAUUUAUCAAAUUAUAAUGAUGUCAUUAAUUAGGAUUGAACAACAAGGUCGUUGAGAUGUUUACAUACUUUAAUUACAGACAUAUGAUAAGUUUAGGAGAGUGAUAUGUAGUUUCAAUUAUUCCUUUCACACAUACCCUAAACUUUAAACCCUAAACCCCUUUCUCUUAAGCAAAAUCUAUCGGUUUUGGGUAAGUUUGAGACACUUGUGGACGAUUGUUUUUAAUUUGGACCCUAUGAAAAUACCUGUAGGAUGUCUAUAUAAAUACCUAGAGAAGGUUAAAUAGGCUAAUUCGAUUUUUGCAAUGAAUAAUAAUCAACUUUUGAAGUAGGAUUGAUAUGAGUUAUCAAUCCUGAAAUGUGCAGAGCUUAAAAUAAAAGAACACACAGAUAUUUAUUUUACGUGGUAAAACCCCACAUCUGGGGAAAAUCCACGGGACUCCUUAGUCCAGAACGAAUCCACUAUAGAAUUGAGAUUACAAGAAGUUCUCACACACACUUAUCCUAGACUCAAUGUUUACCGACUUAUUCAUAAUGUUUACCGACUUAUUCAUAACUCAACUUUUGUCAUGGGAUGAUCUUCGACACUCCUUAUGUUGAACGCAAUAUUGGUCACGAUUGCUUCAAGCUCACCGGAGGAUAAACGCCACAAACGUCUUGAUGCCCUUGACCGUAUGAGCCACUGACAUGCAUAUGUAUGCAAUAUGAAUGAUGAAUGAGUUUGAUAAAUCACCAAGCAACCAGGAGCCCUUGAUGACUUACCGAGAAAAAUAAGUACAGUAGCUUUUCCAAAAAACAGAUUCAAUAUGCUCUCAAAAUCAAUGCGUUGAAAUGCUACACUAUGAAAAGAAGACACCUUGGUUUUAUUCAAAACAGGUUCUCUCAGUCAAGAGAAACCUACUUGACCACCAAUCCAAUUCACGAAAGACUUUCAACCUUAUUCAACUACCACACAACAAAACCUGAUGCAAUAUGGACACUAGUUAAACAUGUCAAACAGGAGACCACUCAUACUGUUCAAGCAUGAAUGUUUCUUUUGAUUCAAUUUACAUGCUAUGUGAUGAUGCCAGCUAAUGCACGAUGUGAGGAAACCUCAUGACUUUCUACUACAGCCAAUCCUUUAAAACAAUAUCUACCUAACAAAUUAAUUAGACCGAUCAAGUAGGAAAUAAUAUCAAGAGAUAAAAUAUAAUCUUAUUGAAAAUAGGAUUAACAUAAAAAUACUUGAGUGAAAAUAAUUUCAAUUAGGAGUCCUAUAAUGAAUGCAUGAUUAUGUUAUGAUUUACCUGUUGUCAAGUUUCUCAUAUGGUCAGGUCAUGCCUCGGAAGUAUAGGGUUGAGAGAGUUGUGCCAAAGCGUCCAGUAACAAUUCCUCACAAACUAAUUUUCAACUUAUGCUAAAGUCUAGGAAAUGCCAAUACGAUUUUCGUACUAACACCCUACAAACAAAUAAAUUAAAGAAAAAAAAGUAAAAGAAGAAAAGAAUAUAAAUUCAUAUAUCUCAAUUUCUUGUGUGAAGCUUUUAAAUUCAUUUCAAAACUAAAAUUAAAAUUUAUUUGUUUUGGUUUUCAAUAAGAUUAAGUUGGAUUUCCUAAAGCAUCAUCACUGAUCUGAUGGCAUCAGAUAAGUCUUUGAAUUACCUAAUGUGAUUGAUUGAUUGGAAUGUAUCCUUAAUACUAAAAAAAAACCAUGUGAUCGACACGUCAUUGAGCACUUCCACUCUAUCGGCAAGGGCAAGGCAAGAGCAAGAGUUUAGGAUAAGAUUUUUAGUUGCCACUUGUCCAUAUUUAUUAUAACAUUCACAUCUCAAAUUUCAUAUAAAAUUUUCGAAUAAGAUUUUCGAUUGCCACGUAUCCAUAUUUAUUAUAAAAUUCACAUUUCACUCAUCAUACAAUUGAAAUACUUGUUCACUCAUCAUACAAUUGAAGAUAUCAAGAAAUUUCGAAAAUUGGGCAUCCACUUUGUUUUUUCGAAGACGUUGAGGGAACGGAAUUGGCGGUACAUAUGGCUUUACAAGGGCAGCAGGUUGAGAUAAUUUCUCUACAGUAGCAGGUUCAAUUUCUGGAGAAAUUUCAUCAAGUUGUGCAGUAGUUCCAGCAGUAAUAGACGACGACGACGGCACGUUAGUAAUUUCUGAUGUCUCUGCAGUUUGUUGAUGGAUAUUCUUUUCUUCAUCCAAGUCUACUGCUGUUUUUAUUGGCCUCCCAUUCCAAAGAGUUAUCGCCCUCGCAUGUUCUUGGUUUUUCGGAUUAUUCUCUGUUUGGCUUGGCAAAGCUCCAUUUACUCUUCCUGUCAAUACAUUAGCUAGCUGGCCCAUCUGAACCUCCAAGUUUCGAAUAGAGGCAGCUUGGUUCUGAAGGGUCGUCUCGGUUUUGCUCAUAAAUUGAUUUGUAUUGACAGAGAGAGUGUUGACAUUUCCAGCAAGUUGAGUAAUUAUAUCCUCCAAUCCAUGCUUCUUUUCUUGAGGUGUGAAAUCAGGUGGAGGUCCCUGUACAUUUUGGUUAUUACUCCAUGGAAAAUUCGGAUGGUUCUUCCAUCCUGGGUUAUAAGUGUUGGAGUAAGGAUUAUUCCGUUGUCGAUUAAAAUUAGAGACUUGGUUCACUUGUUCAGAUGGUGAUGUGAAUGGACUAGCUCCACACUCAUUGCCAUGAUGAGGUCCUGCACAAAAUUCACAACUUAAAUUAGUAUACUGAAUAGCAUUAACAUUUAUAGUACCAAGUUGUUUAGACAUAGUAGAAAUUUGCGCAGUUAACGCAGAUAUGGCGUCAAUCUCAUGAAUUCCAGCUUUCUUUGGUGUUGAUCUCUCACUAGGCCAUUGAUAGUUAUUUGACGCCAUCUCUUCCAGCAAGUUAUACGCUUUAGUUUCUGUUUUUCCCAUCAAAGCUCCUCCGGCUGCAGCAUCAAUUGUUGUUUUGCUUGUAUUGUUCAAACCAUUGUAGAACGCUUGAACUUGCAUCCAAGUAGGUAGGGCAUGAUGUGGGCACUUCCUUAGCAUAUCCUUGUAUCUGUCCCAUGCUUCAUAAAAAGGUUCCAUGUCAUUCUGAGCAAAUGACAUGAUGUCAUUUCUGAGUUUCGCAGUCUUUGCAGGAGGAAAGAAUUUAGCUAAAAAUUUCUUGGCCAAGUCGUCCCAUGUAGUAAUCGAAUUAGGUGGUUGAGAAUUCAACCAUGACUUUGCCUUUUCCUUUAAUGAGAAAGGAAAAAGCCUUAAGCGAACAGCAUCAUUGGUAGCUCCAUUGCGCUUAAAUGUGUCACAUAUCUCCAAGAAAUUAGAGAUAUGCCUAUUAGGGUCUUCUUGAGGUAAACCACAAAAGAUGGAGGAUUGUUGAAUCAUUGAAAUUAUGGCUGGUCUGAUUUUAAAAUUAUUGGCAUCAAUGGUUGGACGACGAAUGCUCGAUGGUGAUGCCACCACAGAUGGGACAUCAUAGUCCCUUACUGGUUUUGCUUCCACAGCCAUAGGUGAUGGCUUUUCCAAUAUUGCGUCCUUGCCCCUUUUGAGUUUGUUAAGCUUGUGAAGUGUUCGCUCGAUCUCUAGAUCUAAUGGUACAAGCACAAGACUCUGCGAACGUCUCCCAAAACUCAUGCACUAGGUGAAGUACCUAAAAAAACAAAAAACAAAAUUCAAAUUAAAAUUCAAAUCAAUCUAUAUCGAUAUUAAUAAAAUUUAAAACACUCUCCGACGGCGGCGCCAAAAACUUGUUGUGAUAUUUAUUGCAAGCGCACAAUUCGCACAAGUAAUAUAGUGAUGAGUGAAGUGUCGUUCCCACGAAGAGUGAUUUAAUUUAACAAGUACCGAUUGUGAUUAACCCAAGACUUUAUUUGAACAAUUGAUGAUGAGAUUUGAUUGAUUAAUUAACUAAAACAAUGAAUAAAAACAAGCGUAGAAAAAUAAAGUAGUGAGAUUCAAGUUAUGAGAGCACUAGAGCUUCCGAUUUCACCAUAGCCAAUUCUACCCAAUUCCUUUAGCAUGUUAAUCCUAAUUAUUCUCUAUGUUGACAGUUGAUUUUCCCUACUUUAUUCGAUACUCCAUCCCUGGUUAUACCAAAAGUAUUCUUAUUACCAACCCACUCUAUCCCUAGUAAUGGAAUUAAGAUAAUAAGAACCCAUUAAAUUCCUUGGAAAACCUACAAAACAACCACAUAAGUCAUGACAAACAUCUCUGUCUAAUCAUGUAACUCAUGACAUCUAUUACAAGAAGCAACCCCAAAUUGGAUAUUCCUAUUUUCAAUUUAGCAUCAAAACAAUUAAAUGUUGGCCAAACAUUCAAAGCAUUAAGCAUGGUAAUAAAUACUCAACAUGGAAAAAAUACUUGGAAUUAACAUCGACUAAAGUAAUUGAGCAUUCAUGGCUAGGCUACAUCGUAGCCCUAGCAAGAAGAAAUUAGUUCAUGACAACUUUAAUAAAAACCAUGAUAAAUAGUAUCAUAGGAAAGAAGUAACCAAUUGAAGAUUUGAUCUCUGCACGACAGCAACUCUAGCUCCAGGUUGUCUUCUUUGUCUCUCUAAAACUCUCUCAACAAUAGAUGAUGGGUAGAUGAUGGAGGAUGGAUGAUGGGUAAUGGAUCCUUUCAACAAUGACCUAAACUCCCUAUUUAUAAAACUCCUAGAAAUCCUACCUAAAGAAUAAUUACAAUUGUUAUAAAAAUAGGAUUCCUUCUAAAAUAAGGUCUUCUUUAUUUCUCCUUGUUUAACUUGAUAAGACUUGCACCAUCUUGAACUAGGAAAUUUGACAACAUUCCUUGCAACAAAAGGAAUGACUUGGCUUCUUUUUUUAUUGAUUUUCAUCUCCUUGCCUUUUUUAGCACACUUUCUCCUAUUUCACAAUUCCUUCACAAAUCUCACAAAACUAAUUAAAAACAACCAAUUUAAUCCAAGAAAUUAAUAAAUAAAUAAGCAAAGGAGGCAUAAAAUAUAUAUAAAAUAUAGACUUAUCAAAUACCCCCAAACCUGUCUUUUGCUAGUCCUCGAGCAAAACUGAAAAUCAAAAAUAAAUUAAAACAAACAAACUAAAUUAAACCACUUUUGCAGGUAAUCUCGAUGGCACUUAGCAUGUGCCACAAGCCUUUAAACCUCUAGGUGCCCCUAGUAGGAGGAGUUGUGUCUCUUGAGGGUUUACCAGUCAUGACACCCACAGACACUUCUUGCAAAACAAAUUCGUUAAAGCAAUACUUCCAACAAACUAAUAAUAACCAAUGAAUGCUAAUCACAAUUCAAAAACUAAAGUUAUGCCACUACAAAUAAAAUGCACCAUAGUGUAAAGUGUAAAGUGUAAAGCCAAAAAUCCAACAUUGAAACAUAAAGAUAACCACAUUAGGCGUGUGUACAAAUUCGUCUCGACUCUAGGCCUUACUGGAUAACUCUCAAUUUUCUCACAGAACCUAGGGUUGCACUCUUACCCCGCAUAUGUGAAUAAAGUUAGGUGAAGAAUUCAAAAUAUAAGACACAUAUGCAUCCAAGAAUCAAUAAAAGGAAAUUUCUAACAAUAGAUCUCAUGGAAAGGAAAUCAAAUACUAAAAACCAUAGAUGAAGUACAUACCUCUACUUCCGAGUAAGAAGUCCCCAAAAAUCCGUUAGGUCUUUACUAUGGUUGUAAUGAAGGGCUAGGUUAUGGGUUAUGAAAGAAAAGGAAGGAAAUACUAGAACUUGAGACAUGCCAAGGCAUUUAUCACGUUAUAAGGCUCGGCUCUUCAAAUUUACUUCACAGAGGCGUCCAGGAUUUUUGAUAUGCUUCACAUUUUUUUUUCUUUAAUAGAUUUCUCUUUUUUUUUUUCCUUUCUUUUUAUUUAUUUAUUUAUUUUUAAGCACAUAUUUCCUCGGUACACGCCACCUCUUUUGUUAAUUUAGAGAUUAACCUUCAUCCUUGUCUUCAUGCCAUGGCAUAUCCCAAGUUAUAGGGUAUGGCUAAAAAUAGGGUGAAAAGGGUAAGAAAAUAUUGUGGGUGAUGAAAGAAAAGGCUAAGUGUUUGGCUUCAAAGGGUUGAUGGCACACACAAUGGGUAGGACAUGAGUUUUUAUUUAGUGGCUAGAACAUGCAUAGCCUAACAUCAUUUCUCAAGGUCCAUCCAACUCAAAAGUAAAAGCAUGAGAUGAUUCCAAAAUAGAGAGUAGUUCUUAGUAUUCAACUCAAAAGCCUAAUUGAGAUCAAUUUAAAUAAGAAAGAAAGAAAAUAGUGAAUAAGACUAAUCCCAAAUACUCUCUCAAUGAAUGGCAAUUUGGCUCAAGUAUCUCACAAUGGUAGUCUCCACUAUUUCUCCACAAUCAUCCAAGUAUAGCUAGCUUGUCUAUUAAAAUACUUGAAGCAUGGCCAUGUGAAGUGCUAUACUUAUGAUGCAUAAACUUUCAUGGCAACACUUUAGUUAAAGAAAUAUGAUCAAACAUCACAUAUACAUCACUAUUAGUAAGAGAAAGUAAAAGCUUUAACAAAUUUUUUUUUUUUUUUUAAAAAGUUAAAGGCAUUUUGUGAUUUUUUUCAAACAAAUGUGAGUGAAUUUAUGGGCCAUAAUUGCUUAGGGAUAAAGAAAUUUCAUCAAAAGGAAGAGGACACACCUGGAAUAGCUCCUAGAAACCUCUGAUCACAAAUGGAAUGGAUCAUAAUUGAUUUGGAAUGAAAUUAGAAAAUUCUGGAAAAUUGACCUUUAGCGACGAAAAAUCUGAUGAAACACCGUCGCUAAAAACCCUUUUGUGACGAAAAAUCUUCAUAUUCUGGGUAGGUAGCAGCUAGUCUUUUUUGGGUUUUAGGCCACUUUUUUAGCUUCAAAUCUCCCUAAAACGUCAUGUAAAGCACUUGAGACCCCCAAAACAGUUUCAAAUCAUCAUAAUAACCAUUCUAAACAUGUUGGUGGCUUCAAAUUUGCCUGAAAAACAUCAAAAAGGAAAAUAUGUAAAAUUUUUAAUUUUGACCAAAAUAAGAACAUAAUAACCUAUUUUGCUAUUUUCUGGGUUUUAAAGUCAUCUAAUGGCCAAAACAACAUCUGGAACAUGUUUGCAAUCAUCACGGGGCUAGAAAAAAUCGAGAAAUGUUCUUUGAAACACAAAAUCCUUUCUUUGGAACACAAAAUCUUUUUUUCUUUUUUUUUUCUUUAUGACUCAAAACUCAAACAAAAAACAACUAAACUCCACACCCCCAAAUCUAAAUUAAGCAUUGUCCUCAAUGUUUAAAGUAAAUGCAUGUAAAAAUUAGUAAAGGCAUAGAAGGAUGGAAAAUAAAGGGAAAACAAAACAAAAUAAAAUAAAAAGGAACGAAGGUACCUAGUUGGGUUGCCUCCCAACAAGCGCUUGAUUUAUAGUCCCCAGCCCGACUUGCGAGGUCAUCACUUUGGAUCAUGUAGAGGAAUGAAAGUUCGCUGUUGAUCAAAAUUGACUUCCAAGUAUGGCUUCACUCAUUGGCCAUUUACUUUGAAAAUAGUACCUUGUUCGUCAUGCCUAACCUCAAUAACUCCAGAAGGAAAUACUUGCACUAUUGUAAAUGGUCCAGACCAACGUGAUUUCAACUUCCCGGGAAAGAGUCGGAGGCGGGAAUUAAAUAGGAGAACUUUCUAACCAGCGAAGAAAUCCUUCCUUAGAAUAUGCUUAUCAUGCCAUUUCUUUGUACGCUCCUUGUAUAUCUUGGAAGUCUCAUAAGCUUCAUUACAAAACUCAUCCAUAUCAUUCAAUUGAAUUGCCCGUUUUUCUCCUGCUGCAAUCAUGUCAAAAUUGAGUGUUUGGAGUGCCCAAUGUGCCUUAUGUUCGAGCUCAACCGGUAAGUGACAAGCUUUCCCAAAAACUAGACGAUAAGGAGACAUGCCAAUUGGUGUUUUGAACUCCGUUCGAUAGGCACAUAAGGCAUCAUCCAAUUUCAGUGACCAAUCCUUUCUUGAAGCACUCACCGUCUUUUCCAAAAUUCGUUUUAAUUCUCUAUUGGAAACUUCAACUUGUCCACUAGUUUGUGGAUGAUAGGGAGUAGUAACCUUGUGGGUAAUACCAUAUUUAGCUAAAAGAUAAUUAAAUUGACGAUUGCAAAAGUGUGUACCUCUGUCACUGAUGAUGCCACGCGGAGUCCCGAAUCUGGUGAAAAUAUUUUUUUGGACAAAUUUGACAACCACCUUGGCGUCAUUGGUAGGGAGAGCGACGGCUUCAACCCAUUUCGACACAUAAUCAACAGCCACCAAUAUGUACUUGUUCUUCCAAGAUUCAGGGAAAGGUCCCAUGAAAUCUAUUCCCCAGACAUCGAACAAUUCAACCUCUAGAAUAUUAUUCAAUGGCAUCUGAUUUCUGCUAGAAAUAUUUUCAGUGCGUUGGCAUCGAUCACAGGCAGCUACAAAUGCAUAGGCAUCCUUGAACAAAGUUGGCCAAAAAAAUCCAGAUUGUAAUACCUUGGCUGCUGUUUUGGAGGCACCAAAAUGCCCCCCACAUGCCAAUGUGUGGCAAUGUCGCAAUAUGUCUUCCAUCUCCUCCUCAGGCACACAUCUCCGUAUAACUUGGUCAGGGCAAUGUUUCCACAAAUAUGGGUCGUCCCAAUAAUAAUGUUUAACCAAGGAGAAAAACUUCUUCUUCUGAUGAAACGAUAAAUCAGCUGGAAUGAUAGUACUAGCUAAAUAAUUCACAAAGUCAGCGUACCAAGGAGCUUCGGAUGAUCGAAUGGCAUACAAGUGUUCAUCAGGGAACAUCUCCAUAAUGGGUGCAGCAUCAUCACUCAUCUUUACCUCACUGACCAGCCGCGAAAGAUGGUCAGCUACCACGUUUUCGGACCCCUUUUUGUCUCGAAUUUCAAGAUCAAAUUCUUGGAGCAGUAGUACCCAGCGAAUUAAUCGUGGUUUUGCAUCUUUCUUCGAAAGUAAAUACUUUUAUCCAAGGAGAAGAUUACUACUAACAAUUCUUUCUCCGUGGUGGUAUAAUUCCGCUGGGCGUCAUUCAAAGUACGACUGGCAUAAUAAAUUACAUGAAGUAAUUUAUUUCUUCUUUGACCCAAAACUGCCCCUACCGCAUAGUCACUAGCAUCACACAUAAUCUCAAAAGGCAAGUCCUAAUCCGGUGCGACAAUGACAGGUGCAGAAGUAAGCUUCUCUUUCAAGACAUUAAAAUUAAAUUCUACAUCUUUAAGAAGGAGAUUGCAUAAGGGCUUCGUGAUUUUGGAAAAAUCUUGGAUAAACCGCCGAUAAAAUCCAGCAUGACCCAGAAAGCUUUGAAUCCCCUUUAUUGUAGUGGGCGGUGGCAAUUUCUCUACGGUAUCAAUUUUUGCCUUAUCAACCUCUAUGCCUUUAGCUGAAAUUUUAUGCCCUAGGACUAUCCCUUCUUGCACCAUAAAAUGGCAUUUCUCCCAAUUCAAAACCAAAUUGGUUUCUUCACAUCUUUUCAAAACUAAUGCCAAAUUAUGUAAACAAGAAUCAAAUGAUGAGCCAAAAACAGAAAAGUCAUCCAUAAAAACCUCAAUGAAGCGCUCCACCAUGUCCGAAAAGAUGCUCAUCAUGCAACGUUGAAAGGUGGCAGGGGCGUUACACAACCUGAAAGGCAUGCGCCUGUAUGCAAAAGUGCCGAAUGGGCAUGUGAACGUCGUCUUUUCUUGAUCUUCAGGUGCAAUUGGAAUUUGAUUAUACCCAGAAUAUCCAUCUAAAAAACAAUAAUAUGAAUGCUCAGCAAGUCUUUCCAACAUCUGAUCAAUGAAAGACAAGGGAAAGUGAUCUUUCCUUGUCGCAGUGUUCAAUUUCCUGUAGUCUAUGCAGACAUGCCAUCCUGUAGUUGUUCUUGUCGGGAUCAACUCAUUCUUAUCAUUUUUCACCACUGUAAUACCCCCUUUUUUCGGUAGGACUUGAACUGGACUCACCCAACUACUAUCUGAAAUCGGGUAAAUUAUUCCAGCAUCUAAUAACUUUAAUAUUUCAGCUCGCACAACUUCUUUCAUAUUCGGAUUUAAUCGACGCUGAUGCUCAACUGAAGGUUUAAAAUCAUCUUCCAUCAGAAUACGGUGCAUACACAUGGAACGGCUAAGUCCCUUAAUAUCUGCAAUAGUCCACCCUAUUGUCGUUUUAUGCUCCCUCAAAACUCAUAGUAAUUUAUCUUCUUCUAGUUUACUCAAAUUUGCAGCAAUAAUCACAGGAAGAGUUUCAAAAUUACCCAAGUAUGCAUAUCUUAAGUGGGAAGGUAGGGGCUUCAAUGUGAGGGUUGGUGCAGUAAUGACACUGGGUUGUGGCUUGGAGGUUGUGACGCUAAGCUCCUCAAAUUCGCGCCACCUUCCAGGGGGGCGCGGUUUCAUUGCUUCCAAAAAGUACACCAUCUCAGAAAUUUUAGGAUCCUCAUGCUCAGUAGUAACGGAAUGCACAAGGCAAGCCUUCAAUGGAUCAUAUGGAUGUUCUUCUUUAAAUUUUUCAGAGACAACUUUUUCCACUAUAUCCACUCGGAAGCAAGAGUCUGAUUCCACUGGGUACUUUGUUGCUUCAAAGACAUUGAAGGUCACCUGCUCAUCAGCCACUCGCAAAAUUAAUAAACCUUUGUCCACAUCAAUUAAUGUCUUCCCGGUUUUUAGAAAGGGGCGGCCUAAGAUAAUAGGGGUUUCGGCAUCUUCUUCCAUGUCUAAAAUCAAAAAAUCUGCUGGAAAAAUGAGCUUAUCAACUUUGACUAACACAUCCUCAAUUAUGCCUUUGGGAUAUGUUAUGGACCUGUCCCCCAUCUGCAAAGAAACAGUGGUUGGGUGAAUUACCCCCAACCCAAUAUGUUUAGCAAUAGAAGAAGGCAUUAGAUUAAUACUGGAUCCUAAAUCACAUAAAGCUUUUUCAAAGUAAGUGGUUCCAAUAGUGCAAGGUAUAGUAAAACUCCCUGGAUCCUUUAGCUUAGGUGGUAGCUUCCUCUGCAAAAUAGCACUGCAUUCUUCGGAUAAUUUCACUAUCUCAUGUUCGCCCAAUUUCCUCUUCUUUGAUAUAAUAUCCUUCAUGAAUUUGGCAUAACUCGGCAUUUGCUCCAAAGCAUCGGCAAAAGGAAUAUUUAUUUGUAAUUUCUUGAAGAUAUCAAGAAAUUUCAAAAAUUGGGCAUCCACUUUGUUUUUUCGAAGACGUUGAGGGAACGGGAUUGGCGGUACAUAUGGCUUUACAAGGGCAGCAGGUUGAGAUAAUUUCUCUACAGUAGCAAGUUCAAUUUCUGGAGACAUUUCAUCAAGUUGUGCAGUAGUUCCAGUAGUGAUAGACGACGACGACGGCACGUUAGUAAUUUCUGAUGUCUCUGCAGUUUGUUGAUGGAUAUUAUUUUCUUCAUCCAAGUCUACUGCUGUUUUUAUUGGCCUCCCAUUCCGAAGAGUUAUCGCCUCCGCAUGUUCUUAGUUUUUUGGAUUAAUCUCUGUUUGGCUUGGCAAAGCUCCAUUUACUCUUCCUGUCAAUACAUUAGCUAGCUGGCCCAUCUAAACCUCCAAGUUUCGAAUAGAGGCAGCUUGGUUCUGAAGGGUCGUCUCGGUUUUGCUCAUAAAUUGAUUUGUAUUGACAGAGAGAGUGUUGACAUUUCCAGCAAGUUGAGUUAUUAUAUCCUCCAAUCCAUGCUUCUUUUCUUGAGGUGUGAAACCAGGUGGAGGUCCCUGUACAUUUUGGUUAUUACUCCAUGAAAAAUUCGGAUGGUUCUUCCAUCCUGGGUUAUAAGUGUUGGAGUAAGGAUUAUUCCGUUGUCGAUUAAAAUCAGAGACUUGAUUCACUUGUUCAGAUGUUGAUGUGAAUGGACUAGCUCCACACUCGUUGCCAUGAUGAGGUCCUGCACAAAAUUCACAACUUAAAUUAGUAGACUGAAUAGCAUUAACAUUUAAAAUACCAAGUUGUUUAGACAUAGUAGAAAUUUGUGCAGUUAACGCAGAUAUGGCGUCAAUCUCAUGAAUUCCAGCUUUCUUUGGUGUUGAUCUCUCACUAGGCCAUUGAUAGUUAUCUGACGCCAUCUCUUCCAGCAAGUUAUACGCUUUAGUUUCUGUUCUUCCCAUCAAAGCUCCUCCGGCUGCAGCAUCAAUUGUUGUUUUGCUUGUAUUGUUCAAACCAUUGUAGAACGCUUGAACUUGCAUCCAAGUAGGUAGGGCAUGAUGUGGGCACUUCCUUAGCAUAUCCUUGUAUCUGUCCCAUGCUUCAUAAAAAGGUUCCAUGUCAUUCUGAGCAAAUGACAUGAUGUCAUUCCUGAGUUUCGCAGUCUUUGCAAGAGGAAAGAAUUUAGCUAAAAAUUUAUUGGCCAAGUCGUCCUAUGUAGUAAUCGAAUUAGGUGGUUGAGAAUUCAACCACGACUUUGCCUUUUCCUUUAAUGAGAAAGGAAAAAGCCUUAAGCGAACAACAUCAUUGGUAGCUCCAUUGCACUUAAAUAUGUCACAUAUCUCCAAGAAAUUAGAGAUAUGGCUAUUAGGGUCUUCUUGAGGUAAACCACAAAAGAUGGAGGAUUGCUGAAUCAUUGAAAUUAUGGCUGGUUUGAUUUCAAAAUUAUUGGCAUCAAUGGUUGGACGACGAAUGCUCGAUGGUGAUGCCACCACAGAUGAGACAUCAUAGUCCCUUACUGGUUUUGCUUCCUCAGCCAUAGGUGAUGGCUUUUCCAAUAUUGCGUCCUUGCCCCUUUUGAGUUUGUUAAGCUUGUGAAGCGUUCGCUCGAUCUCUAGAUCUAAUGGUACAAGCACAAGACUCUGCGAACGUCUCCCAAAACUCAUGCACUAGGUGAAGUACCUAAAAAAACAAAAAACAAAAUUCAAAUUAAAAAAAUUCAAAUUAAAAUCCAAAUCAAUCUAUAUCGAUAUUAAUAAAAUUUAAAACACUCCCCGACGGGGGUGCCAAAAACUUGUUGUGAUAUUUAUUGCAAGCGCACAAUUCGCACAAGUAAUAUAGUGAUGACUGAAGUGUCGUUCCCACGAAGAGUGAUUUAAUUUACCAAGUACCGAUUGUGAUUAACCCAAGACUUUAUUUGAACAAUUGAUGAUGAGAUUUGAUUGAUUAAUUAACUAAAACAAUGAAUAAAAACAAGCGUAGAAAAAUAAAGUAGUGAGAUUCAAGUUAUGAGAGCACUAGAGCUUCCGAUUUCACCAUAGCCAAUUCUACCCAAUUCCCUUAGCAUGUUAAUCCUAAUUAUUCUCUAUGUUGACAGUUGAUUUUCCCUACUUUAUUCGAUACUCCAUCCCUGGUUAUAUCAAAAGUAUUCUCAUUACCAACCCACUCUAUCCAUAGUAAUGGAAUUAAGAUAAUAAGAACCCAUUAAAUUCCUUGGAAAACCUACAAAACAACCACAUAAGUCAUGACAAACAUCCCUGUCUAAUCAUGUAACUCAUGGCAUCUAUUACAAGAAGCAACCCCAAAUUGGAUAUUCCUAUCGUCAAUUUAGCAUCAAAACAAUUAAAUGUUGGCCAAACAUUCAAAGCAUUAAGCAUGGUAAUAAAUACUCAAGAUGGAAAAAAUACUUGGAAUUAACAUCGACUAAAGUAAUUGAGUAUUCAUGGCUAGGCUACAUCGUAGCCCUAGCAAGAAGAAAUUAGUUCAUGACAACUUUAAUAAAAACCAUGAUAAAUAGUAUCAUAGGAAAGAAGUAACCAAUUGAAGAUUUGAUCUCUGCACGACAGCAACUCUAGCUCCAGGUUGUCUUCUUUGUCUCUCUAAAACUCUCUCAACAAUAGAUGAUGGGUAGAUGAUGGAGGAUGGAUGAUGGGUAAUGGAUCCUUUCAACAAUGACCUAAACUCCCUAUUUAUAAAACUCCUAGAAAUCCUACCUAAGGAAUAAUUACAAUUGUUAUAAAAAUAGGAUUCCUUCUAAAAUAAGGUCUUCUUUAUUUCUUCUUGUUUGACUUGAUAAGACUUGCACCAUCUUGAACUAGGAAAUUUGACAACAUUCCUUGCAACAAAAGGAAUGACUUGGCUUCUUUUUAAUUGAUCUUCAUCUCCUUGCCUUUUUUAGCACAUUUUCUCCUAUUUCACAAUUCCUUCACAAAUCUCACAAAACCAAUUAAAAACAACCAAUUUAAUCUAAAAAAUUAAUAAAUAAAUAAACAAAGGAGGCAUAAAAUAUAUAUAUAUAAAAUAUAGACUUAUCACUAUAUAUAUAUUCUUUACAAAAAUUUAAAGCUCCUUAAAGCCCAUAGAAACCGGUAAAGUCACAGUUUUUUUGACUUUUGAAUAUGGGCAAUACACGAGAAGAUGGACAGUAUUUUGAUAACUCUGUUUAGACUAAAAGCUAAGGACUGUCUAUUAACAAAUAAUUCCAACAUGCAACCUUUUUAAUUAGUCUACUUCCUGAUUGCAGAUGGGGAAGAACUCCACUUAAUGAAGCCCGCAUAGGUGGAAAUAAGAAACUAAUCAAACUGUUUGAAGUUGCUAGAACUUUGUAGUUGUCAGAGUUAUCUAAUCAAUAUCAUCAAGAAAUUAGCUAGCUAAGCAUUUCUCUGAUCAAAAUGAUAAAUUGUCGAUCGGCAAUACAUUUAUCCUUUGAUUAAAUGAUAAAUGUUUAUAAGACUUGGAACAAAAGUUCUGAGAUGUUAUAUGUGUGAAUUUUGUUAGAAUCUUUAAUUCUCUUUUCGAUUUUCUAAUAUGCGUACCUUGGAAAAUAUGAAUUGAACUAUUAUUAUUGUUGAUCUGACUUGGCAAUUCUCAGCGUCAAUUAUUCUUACUAGGCUUGUAAUAAUCAAGGAUCGAGUAAUUAAUUAAUUAAAGCUCUUGAAUCAUGGAAGUAAUGCAUGAAUGCAUCAAGUAAUCCGGAUCAGAAUAGUAAAACCAAAGAAGCACAACUUUUAUUCCCGCAGAUAGUCUUAGCCUAGGUUACAUAAAUUAAUGCAUGAAUGCAUGAGCAGCAGCUGCAUGCAAUAUUAUUGAACCCAAAUCACAACAAAAGGAAAACUUAAGACAAUGCCACUUUCGCAGGGAACGCGAUUGCAUUUAGCGUAUGCAACAAGCCUUUUAAACCUAUAGGUGACCCUGAUAGGACGAGUGAAGUCUCGUGAGGGUUUCCAGUGACGCUACCCACAAACAUCGUAUUAACUUAACAGGAUGAUCAUCCUGGAAGUUUUUCGACAAUGAAGAAAUGUUCAUGGGUGGGGCCUCCAGGUUCUGCAAUGAGGGCAUUUUCGAACUCGUUUCCAGAUUUUGGCUUUAAAAGGUUUCCCAUUUUCUCAUGGUGGAACUUGUAUAUGCCUUCGGUGUACGGUCCUGGUGGUUUCACAACCUCAGGCUUGAAGAGUGUACAUGACCACAGCGUUUUAUUUGGCUGUUUCUCGUCAGCCCCGGCCACAAUCCACGAACUGUCUUGGCUUGCCGUUAUCCAGUAUUUGUCGUUGUAGGUGGAUUUUAUAUGCACCAGACUGGGGAGGUUUACGUCCUUCUCCACUUUGAACCUUGCGUAUUUGCUCUGAACAUCCUCUCCGGAGCAUUGGAGAAUAUCUUGCAUCUUUUCGGUGGCUUGGUCUUUGUAGACCAAGUAUUUACCGCUCGUGAAUGAUUUAAGAGCAAUGAACUUUGGUAAUUCUGCCAUUUCUGAUGAUCUCUCGCUCGCGCUUCAAUUUUUUUUUAUGUAAACUCACUUCUCUCUCUCUCUCUCGUUGCUUAUUGCUUUUCCUAACUCCAACCUGCUGUGCUAUUUAUAAUCAAGCAAACCCAAACCCUGCAUGCAGCUCUGGCUUCUUUUUCUUGCUGUACUGGCCCGCGAUAAGAAAAUUGAAGCCACAAAAAAAAAAAGUCGAGCCAGGUGGCAGUUUUGAAAGGUCAAGUAAUAUUGUUCUUGAUAUAAAACAAACUAAAGCGUGCUCCACGUCUUCAAAUAAAACAAAGUUAAGGCUAGUAAUUAUCGACAUCGAUAUUUUGCGAUAUUAUCGUCGAUAUUGUCAAUAUUUAUACGAUAUGUACAUGGAUAUGUUUCGAAAUAUCCGUGAUUCAAAAAAACCGAAAUAUCCUCGAUAUUUCCUCGAUAUUAUCGAUAUUUCAGACUAUGAUGUGAACUUGAUUAUGUAAUUUCUACUACAUGCACUUAUGGGACAUAACCAUUUAUCAAUUAUAAUAAUGUCACAUAAAAAUUGAAGCCACAAAAAAAAAAAAGUCAAGCCAGGUGGCAGUUUUGAAAGGUCAAGUAAUAAUGUUCUUGAUAUAAAACAAACUAAAGCGUGCUUCACGUCUUCAAAUAAAACAAAGUUAAGCCUAGUAAUCUAUUCUCUGUUGUAAUGUGAACUUGAUUAUGUAAUUUCUACUACAUGCACUUAUGGACAUAACCAUUUAUCAAUUAUAAUAAUGUCAUCGACUAGGACUGAACAGCGACGGCUGAAGGCCCAGCUCAUUCUUAAUCUUAGGCAACACAUGUGCUGGGUUUCAUUUCAUAAAUUCAUAACCAAACCAAGCUAGGUCAUAGAAGGAAGCAAAUUAAGCAAUUGAAAUCCACAUCGGCUGAAAAAAUCUCUCUUGAAAAACCAUAUAAUUGGAGGGUCUGCAAAACUAGACUGUGUGUACGUAGCCAACUUUAUUAAAAUGCCAAUUCAAGUCCUAUGAACACACAUUUCCUUGAAAGUUGCUGGCCAAAUUUUCUUUGUUUUGGUUUUCAAUGAGUUCGAUUUCCUUGAGCAUCACUGAAAAGAUAUUAUAUAUGUGAAAUCUUUUUGUCAGUCUUUGAAUUUACCCAAUGUGGGUGAUCAAUUUUUAUGAUUGCAUUCUAGACUUCUCCUUAGUACAAAACAAAACUACGUGAUUGAUUGAAACGUCAUUAAUUAAUUUAGACAUAUAGGCAUUUGCAUUAAUUCAUUCUAGAUAGUAGAUACACAUCUCCAUAACGCAGAAAGAAUUAGCAUGUCCUUAAUGUGAACUUCGUUAAUAAAUUGAAGAGGAGUUGGAGAACAGUUAGAUGAAUGAAUUAAAGAGGAGUUGGAGAGACGCGGAUGCAAGGGCACACUAAGAAAACUACAGGGUUUAUUUAUAGUUUUAGUGCUAAUAAUGGGUAUAUGACUAAAUAUCUCUAUAAAAAAAAUUAGUGAAUUUAAUCAGAAUGUAAUGACUUAUAGAAUUUUACCUUGGGGCACUUUAAGUCCGUUCCUCCUUAAUAAAGCAUCACUUAAUAGAUUUGAAUUAUGAGCUGAACCCUCCCACCCGCUAAAAACGUAAAUGAAUUCUAAAUCAAAGUUACAAGCUACUGAAACCAUUUAUCAAUUAUAAUUAUGUCAUUAAUUAGGAUUGAACAAUAUGAUUGUAAUGCCAUUUCUAAAGCGUGCUUCACGUCUUCAAAUAAAACAAAGUUAGGCCUAGUAUUUUCUUCUUUAUUGUUUCGGUGCUUAAUGUGAACUUCAUUAUGUAACUUCUAUUACUUGUACUUAAGGGCCAUAGCCAUUUAUCAAAUUAUAAUGAUGUCAUUAAUUAGGAUUGAACAACAAGGUCGUUGAGAUGUUUACAUACUUUAAUUACAGACAUAUGAUAAGUUUAGGAGAGUGAUAUGUAGUUUCAAUUAUUCCUUUCACACAUACCCUAAACUUUAAACCCUAAACCCCUUUCUCUUAAGCAAAAUCUAUCGGUUUUGGGUAAGUUUGAGACACUUGUGGACGAUUGUUUUUAAUUUGGACCCUAUGAAAAUACCUGUAGGAUGUCUAUAUAAAUACCUAGAGAAGGUUAAAUAGGCUAAUUCGAUUUUUGCAAUGAAUAAUAAUCAACUUUUGAAGUAGGAUUGAUAUGAGUUAUCAAUCCUGAAAUGUGCAGAGCUUAAAAUAAAAGAACACACAGAUAUUUAUUUUACGUGGUAAAACCCCACAUCUGGGGAAAAUCCACGGGACUCCUUAGUCCAGAACGAAUCCACUAUAGAAUUGAGAUUACAAGAAGUUCUCACACACACUUAUCCUAGACUCAAUCUAGAUAAUGUUUACCGACUUAUUCAUAACUCAACUUUUGUCAUGGGAUGAUCUUCGACACUCCUUAUGUUGAGCGCAAUAUUGGUCACGAUUGCUUCAAGCUCACCGGAGGAUAAACGCCACAAACGUCUUGAUGCCCUUGACCGUAUGAGUCACUGACAUGCAUAUGUAUGCAAUAUAAAUGAUGAAUGAGUUCGAUAAAUCACCAAGCAACCAGGAGCCCUUGAUGACUUACCGAGAAAAAUAAGUACAGUAGCUUUUCCAAAAAACAGAUUCAAUAUGCUCUCAAAAUCAAUGCGUUGAAAAGCUACACUAUGAAAAGAAGACACCUUGGUUUUAUUCAAAACAGGUUCUCUCACUCAAGAGAAACCUACGUGACCACCAAUCCAAUUCACGAAAGACUUUCAACCUUAUUCAACUACCACACAACAAAACCUGAUGCAAUAUGGACACUAGUUAAACAUGUCAAACAGGAGACCACUCAUACUGUUGAAGCAUGAAUGUUUCUUUUGAUUCAAUUUACAUGCUAUGUGAUGAUGCCAGCUAAUGCACGAUGUGAGGAAACCUCAUGACUUUCUACUACAGCCAAUCCUUUAAAACAAUAUCUACCUAACAAAUUAAUUAGACCGAUCAAGUAGGAAAUAAUAUCAAGAGAUAAAAUAUAAUCCUAUUGAAAAUAGGAUUAACAUAAAAAUACUUGAGUGAAAAUAAUUCCAACUAGGAGUCCUAUAAUGAAUGCAUAAUUAUGUUAUGAUUUACCUGUUGUCAAGUUUCUCAUAUGGUCAGGUCAUGCCUCGGAAGUAUAGGGUUGAGAGAGUUGUGCCAAAGCGUCCAGUAACAUUUCCUCACAAACUAAUUUUCAACUUAUGCUAAAGUCUAGGAAAUGCCAAUACGAUUUUCGUACUAACACCCUACAAACAAAUAAAUUAAAGAAAAAAAAAGUAAAAGAAGAAAAGAAUAUAAAUUCAUAUAUCUCAAUUUCUUGUGUGAAGCUUUUAAAUUCAUUUCAAAAUUAAUAUUAAAAUUUAUUUGUUUUGGUUUUCAAUAAGAUUAAGUUGGAUUUCCUAGAGCAUCAUCACUGAUCUGAUGGCAUCAGAUAAGUCUUUGAAUUACCUAAUGUGAUUGAUUGAUUGGAAUGUAUCCUUAAUACUAAAAAAAAACCAUGUGAUUGAUCGACACGUCAUUGAGCACUUCCACUCUAUCGGCAAGGGCAAGGCAAGAGCAAGAGUUUAGGAUAAGAUUUUUGGUUGCCACUUGUCCAUAUUUAUUAUAACAUUCACAUCUCAAAUUUCAUAUAAAAUUUUCGAAUAAGAUUUUCGAUUGCCACGUAUCCAUAUUUAUUAUAAAAUUCACAUUUCACUCAUCAUACAAUUGAAAUACUUGUUCACUCAUCAUACAAUUGAAAUACUCCUGGUCUUCAUAGUUCGACACAAUCGAGUACAAGGAUGACUCAAUCAUUGGAGGAGGAGAUUCCACCGGAUCACGACGUGGGGGAGUAUUUUCCUUCGAAGGAAGUAAUUGUGCCAUUAUUUUCGACACGGAAAGCACCACUAGAACCGACUACUGACAUUGUUCACUUAAGGAGCCAUGUGUAAUGGUUUUCCUCUUUUUUGUUUUGUCUUGAAUAAUGUAUUAAAAUACAAGAAAAUAUAUUUUUAAAAAUGAUAUUAAAUUGAAUAAAACGAUAAAUUUAUUUUUUUUACAUCGUCACCAAGAUUUUGACCGCUUUGAACGUUUGUCCACGACCAUCCGGUUUCGAUGGAAGAGGCCAUUUGUAUUUUUACACAAAUAAAAUUUUGUAGUAGAAAAUUUGGUGUGGAAAGUGAAAAAUAUUGGAAGGAGAUGAAUUUAUAUGAAGAUUUAGUGUGGAAAGUGAAUAAUAUUGGUAGGUAUUUAUGGAAAAAAAUUCUAGAAUUUUUUGAUAUUUUUUUUACAGCUUUUUUUAGCCAUAAAAUGGGCAACCGUUGAAUUGGAAGACAUUUUUGGAUCGGAGCCUUCAGGAGAAGCUAUGUGCUUGUAGCUGUUGGUUUCUGGCAGUGCUAAUUUUUUUAAAUUAUUGCGCUGACGUUAGCUGCAUGAAAGCAAUACAACGGGCCAGAUCUCCCCAUAGGUCCCACUCCUUACCCGAGCUGGGUCUUGCACGCUGGAACUGCCUUUCAAACCUAGAGCACCCUCCUACCUGGGCUAGCCCCUUGCCCUGGACUUGCUCUAAGACAGAAGAAUUAGCAUGUCCUUAUUAUGUAAACUUCAUUAAUAAAUUUCUACUUUGUACUUGUGGAGGCCCAUAGGAAUUUAUGAAUUAGGAUUGAGAAACAAAGGUUCAAGGGAUUGUUCCAGCUAAUCUUUACCAUAAUAAUAAUAAUAAUAAUUGUUCAGGCCGGCAGCUAAUAAUUAAGUUGGCAUUUUUUUAAGUUUUUUUUUGUCCGGCCAAUAAUAUUAUUUUGGGCCCAAAAUGAAGUAAAGGACUAAAUGUAAAUACAGAAUUGGAAUGUGCUUUUGGGCCUUUUAAGUGGCAUAGGUGGAUCAUAAUAUUGAAGUAGCCCAAACUGUUGAUUUUGGGCGAGUGAACCGGUUCCGAAACCAUGGCCGAUCCUCUCAGUCUUCUUUGCUUUAGCAACUUAUGCUUUGCUUGCUUGGUGAUUAAGCCUAACUAAGGCAAAGCGGCAGCCAGAGCAGCAUCAUUCAGAUUCAGAAGAAGUAGCAAGUAAUUAAGUAAGCUUCAGCCUCACAAACAAAUAUCAAAGCGAAGCAAUCGAAUUUGACAAAGAGAGAGAGAGAAACAGUGAGAGAUCGCGAAAUGGCGUUGCAGUGGAUGAUACUGACGUACGUGGUGGCAGCAGAGGCAGCCUUGGCCUUCCUCUUAACCCUUCCCGCGCCCAAGCUCUUGAAGAAUCAAUUCGUGUCGUUGGUCUCUCUCAUCCUCCAACCUGCCCUCUUUAUCGUUCCAUUCGCCGGCUUUCAGCUCCUUGGUUUGUUUCUUCUUCUUAUUUGAUUUUAUUUUAUUUUAUUCCUAGGGCAUACCAUACCAUAGCAACAAUCUAGCAUCGGAUUUUCCAUUUGAUCUUUUUUACCUGUUUGGGUAAUGGAUUACCAAUUGAUCUUUGACUUGCCUCUUUCUUACUUUCUCUUUUCUUUUAAAUUCUGUGUAGAUAUAUAUUGGAAGAAUGAGCACCGCCUGUCCUGCACCUCUGAGAUCUGCACCGCUGCUGAGCGUGACCGCUAUGAGAAAUCCGUCAGUUUCUAACUACUACUCUCUCUCUCUCUCUCUCGUUUUAAUUUCUUAUGUGAUUCUAAUCUUUAAUCAAGUUGAUGAUGCCUGCAACUCUUCAGCAUGCUAAAAUGAAUUUAUCAAAAAUGAAAUCAUAUAACAAAAGGAAAAUUACAUUUUGAGCAACAACUGAUGUCUCCAAUUUCCAUUCACUAUACUGUUUAACAAAUUUAUUAUAGAAUAACAGCAUUACAAAUUCAUAUUUAUUUUUCUCAAAAUCAUAAUGCCCAAUGACACGCAUACCUGUUUCUUAAUUUUGUCGUCUAAAAUUCUUGCAUAUUCGGCAUUGGAUUGUCUCGUUUCUUCGACUUUUCUUUAGGAUGGUAUCUUGAAUCUUGAAGUUUCUCAUAAUUAUUUCUGUCUUUAUGUAUUGAAAAUUUUCUGCUCUUUAUUAUCUUUAAGAUUUUCUUUGUUUUUGGGUAUUUGCGGAUGAGGGUGAAACAAGGAUUUGUGCUUGUGGAAAUAUUCUGGUAGGAUAUCAAUUGAGUGUAUUUGGAAUAUACUCUCUACUUUUGCGCUGUACAUUUCAUGAAAAACAUGAUAUGUGGUUCAGUUCUUAUAUGUUGCAAGUUGCAGCAUAUGUAGCUGUGGGAUGUCUAAUGAUUGCACAAUGAGCCCUCUGCCAAUCAAGAGAAAUGGAAGAUUCAAGUUCUAUCUACAUAUAUAUACCUUUAAAUUCUAUUAUUCUUGACACCUUUGUUGCGGAAAAUAUGUCAUGCAGAUCUACAAGGCUCAAAGGAAUGUAAUUCUUUGCGCUUCAGCAUGUCUGCUUUACUGGUAUGUUGGCUAGAGAUCAUCAAAUGACCUCAUCUUUUUGUUUUAUUUCUUUACAAGUUUAAGCAAAUAAAAAACUUGAAGGUCUUUACUAUAUUUCUGGUCAUUUGAUAGUAAUCUACAAAUGUUGGGCGCAGGUGUCUUGUUCGCAUAUGCAAAUAUUACAAGGACAUUCAGAAUUUGGAAGAAGUUGAGAAGAGGUGCAAGGAGGAGUAGCUUUUCCCAGAUAGGCUUUUGUUUGGGAGUAGAAACAACCGAGUUCAUAAAUUUUUUUUUCAUCAUAAAUGGGAAACCGAUGUGACUUCUAGUAAUAUUGUAGUGUCUUCACUUUGUGUGGUUAAUUUGUUAGUCAUCAUCUAGUAUGUGUUUCUUUCACCUUUUUCUCGUAGCAAGCUCAAAUAUACUUUUUGUUGUCAACUAUAUAUGAAAAGUAAGACAAUUAUUAUUACUGCUUAGAGAUUUGGCCAUGGCCGGUCUAUUUAUCCUUGAUUGAAUAUAUGAAUUCCAAUCUCCCUUGAUUUGUUGAGAAUCAAGGAUGGUUGCGUGCCAUGAAUUCCAAGCGUGAGUUGAGAUACUUAACCCAGCCUAGAAUGUGCGAGCCUUUACAUGGUCUUCAUUUCAUUGGCGUAUGUUUUGCUUCAAGUUUUGUUUAUACUUGAUCUUAGAUUCAUAGUCGUACAUACCAAAGAAUUCAAUAGUUGAAAUGAGGUCUUCCAUUGCGAUAGUCUUGAGUGACCGAGUCUAUAUCCAAAUUGGGAAUUUAGUCAUCUGUUUACGUACGUAUGGCUCAGCUUUUCAAAUUCUCCAGUAUUGGGAAUGAUUUGGUAUGAAUUGCAGCGUAAACUUGGUUUCACAUACGCCUGCAUUGAUCACCCAGCCCGUCUCCAUCUGAACACCCCGAUGGAGGGGGGUUUAGUAUUUGCAGUAAGAUUUGAUCCACAUUGACCCAUCAUUCACACGCUUUCAGUUCACGACAAUUGCCCUUCAAAUUUCUAAAGAAUAAUAAUGCAUUAAUUCAGGCAUGAUAAUCAACGCACACAUCUGAUUCUCGAACAAAAGCAUCAUCAAGUCAAGGAUAAGGCAAAUUUCUCAAGAGGGUAUUUGUAUGGGCUUAAGAAUAAAUUAAAUAAUGAAUCGAGUCAAGAACUAAGCACACAUUUUCUUUCUUUCUCGAAUUAUAGGGUUUUCUUUAACAUUUUUGGGAAGACUUAAGGGAUUAAAUAAAUAAAUAAAAUAGUCUUAAUAAUCGGAUUUUGCCAAGUGAGAUCAUGCCUCCAAACAAUGGAACUAACCCAAGUUUUGGGCUUGUAUUAUAUAAGCAGAAUAAGACUGCUCUCCUACUGUUUUCCCACUUCCCACAUGGAGGAGGGGCUAACUAGUUGAAAAGAUUGAAAACGAAAACACAUUCUAAAUGUGCAAUACUUUUGACAGCUUGUCGUUUGUUUUUGGGUUUUGGUAGGUAGCAUACUAGCAUCCAUGAAGUAGCCAUGUCCUUAUUAGACGAAUAAGUUUGGGACGUUUUGGUUAGUUUUUGAAGAGGUGCAUAAAAUGAGCUUGAGUCGGUACCAACAAGUUGACAAUCCCUCCUGAGUCCUAACCAAAAGGAUGUAUGUUGAAUGUUGAUUAUUAUUGCAUGAUGCAUGUGGAAUUUUAUUUUCUAAAGCAUGUUUGGAAUGGAACACACAUCAAUCCCAUCCAUCACUGCUUGAUGACUUAGAUUGAUAUAAGCUAUAAAAAUGUCAAGGGCCAAGCCAACUUGUUUGACAUCUCACGCGAACAAGCGUUCAUAUCAAAAUACCAUUUAAGCUUUAUCUAUAUACACAUUGAAAUCUCUUUAUUCAAACAGACAGACUGAAACAUGUGACAUCAUGUGAAAAGAAUGGAAUGGAAUGGAACCUCUGUUUUCACUUCCCUCUAUUCAUCUUGCAGUAUUGUAUUGUAUUACAAGUUACAACUUCAACUUUGGAGAACAAAUUAACUGAUGAAAUGAAAAUUUAAGAAUUAUCAGAAAGAAAAGAAUUCAUAAAUGUUUUCUCUGGACGAAGAUCAAAAUGACCUUCUAAUGUUCUUGAAAUCUACAGACUCAAUGCAUUCCAACCCAGCUCUGUAAGGAUUCAGGAGUUUCAAAAGCUCAGUUGUCUUCUCCUUUGUGUUGUCAUCACCGCAACGAACCUGUAAAACUAACAGGAGCUUCUGAAAUGUACCAACUUGAAGGGCCUCAACAAGAACUCUUUCUUCUUGACUGCUUGCACACUUGCACAGCUUCCAAAUAGCAGAAAUUGAAUACUCAGUCGCCAUUUCUGAUACCCUCAAAAUCUUCUUGACCAAGACAGGUAUAGUGAGAGCAUUAGCAUAGGCCUUUUCCCUCCCAUCUUGGAAAUCGCAAAGACUAUCCAAAACACCCAAAGCCCUCUCACAUAUGCCUCUUUCAGAGUCGACAAGAAUUUCCAACAAUAUGGAAACUAAACCCAUCUCCAGAAAUGCUGAUUUGAUCUUCUCACUAGAUUUAGAAGAAGAAGAAGAUGAUGAUGAUGAAACCAAGUAGAAGACCACCAUCAGUGAAGCCUUGGUAAUCGUCGGAGAAAUUUUCUCUCUGAUGAAGUCGAAAAGUACCUCAUUCACUCCACCAAUCUCCGCCAACGCAUCAACAUGUUUAUUCCGGUCAUGGCAAGCAAGAAGCUCUUUCAAUGCUAAAAUAGCAUUUUGCUUUACUGAAAGAUCAUCACUCAUCUUGAGAAACCAAACCAUGCCGUGCAACGAAGCCUGAGACCCCAAGUAUUUGUGGGCUUCCUCAUCGAAAGCUGGAAGCAUCCAACUCAGCGCAGACAAUAUCUCUUCACAAACGGUGGCAUUUCUCUUUAUGCAAUCACUUGCAAAAGAAUCAAAGGCACCAGCUAGAACAGAGGCCGUCCCAUUCUCCGAGAUGCACCGCUUGUUGCGUUCGCUCUCAGCUCCCCACUUCUUGAUUUUGUGCACACAUUCUAAGCAGCCAUGUUGAUCCAAACGUCUAGCAGAGGCUCCGAUGCUGAAAAGAAUCUCAGAGACCUCCAUUGGCAAGACAGGAAUUCUGGGUGUUGGGACACGUUCGAUGCCGUAGUGCUUGUUUUGAGUGCACCACUCUUGAAUCAUUCUUCUGAGACUAUGGUUGGGAAUCUGAUCAAAGUUUCUCAGCACCUGAUUUGUUACCGGGCAAGUGAAAUUCCCGGCUUCGAGCCACGUGUCAAUACUCUGUCUAUCGUAGGUUAUUCCGGAUGACAAUGUAACCGGAUCCUUCAUCAGGUCCAGCGAUAUUGGGCACAGGAAGUGGUUUGGGAUGAGGGCUUCCAUGUCUAGGUCCCGGGGCUGCUUUUUCUUGGUGCCGUGGCCUGUUCUCCUUCUUGUCCAGCCUAAAACCAUUGCUUGCUGAUUAGCUAGCACAGAUUAAGUUUUGAUCAGAAAAGCAGUGAGAGAAGUUGAUUCUUCUGUUUUUGUUGGUGGUGUUUUUUGUUUGUGAAAAAAUAGGAGGGGAGGUGAUGGGGUUUAUAUACUAAUAAUACUAUAUGUUGUUCCGGCCACAACUUUUCAGGUUUUCAUACACGCGGUGUUCAAAGAUGAGACCAUUUUGCAUAUGGAGAGAAAUGGGAAAGAAUUGAAUAAGUAAACAAAUUCAAGCAGAGGGUUUUAGGAAUAGUACAAUUUGAAUGUUGACCGUUGAAGCUUUGAAAGUUUUAAAAUUAACCGUCAAAAGCGGGGAAGUGGUAAAAGUAAGCUCUUCCUUCAUGGGCCUCAAAUGUACCAAAUAAACGAAUUAUGUUUUUAAAUUAUGAUGAGCUACUUUAAGUAUGGGGUUAUGUAUGAGGAUGAGGUUUUGACGCGUUGACCGAGAUUCUUUUCUUCUUCUUCUUCCGUUUUUUUUUUCUUAAUCUGAAAUUCUGAAUCAGAUAUGACGAACAAGACCGAUAUCUCAGCUGUUACAUUUUUUUCAUUUUUUCUUGUAAGUCUUUUUUUAAAAAUUUAUUUAUUUGAAAACGGAAAAUUACAAGCAAAGCAAAAACCACCAGAACACGCAGGCCCAAACAAAUCGAAGUAAAAAGAAGAGAACAUCAAUUUUUUCUUGUAAGUCUUCAUUGGUGUUUUUUUUAAUUUAUUUUUUUUCUUCGUAGUAUGUAGUAGGAGAAAAGGAAAAACAAAAAAGUCAGUCACCUCAACUUUGUAAGAACGAGUCCUAGGCUCCUCCUUAUCAGACUCUCUCAGCUGCAAAAGGUUUGACUUUGAAGGAGUCAUUGCCCAAAAUACCAUCCACCACAUGCAAAUUGCAAUACAAACUCCAAUGACAUUCAUUUGGCAAGCAAGUUUAAGUACACGCCCCAUUAAAACCCAGGAGGAUAAUUUGAAUAAAUCAAACAUUCUAACCUAAUAACCUUACAGGAGUUGCUUUUUAUUCAUGUUUGAAUGCUGUACAGACAAAAACUCCUGUCGAAAUGAGCUUAUUUUACAAAUCAAUUUUUAAUCAUGUACCUAAUCAGAAAAGAUUGUCAACCAAGCUCGAAAACAAAUCCAGCCUAAGUCGAAAACAAAUCCAUCCUAAGAAUAAAAGAAAGGAAAAGAAAGAAAGAAAAGAAAGAAUUGCAGCCUAACUGACUUCACUACCCAUCCUUCCAUCAGUUAAUCAAAUGGAAGCACAAGGCCUUCAAUCUUUCACUUCACAGUGCUGACUUGCCAGAGCAAGGUAGAAUAUUGGGUUUAUUCUUGCCUGACAUAAGGAGAAGAACUCAUCUCCGUGCUGUAAAAUGAGUCAUCCCCAUUCAUAGCAAAGAAAUUAUCAUUCUUUUCAUCAUCCCACUUAAGGAUCUCCCUUAUGUACUUGAAUGCCUCAUCAACUGAGGUACCCGCUCGAGCUCGGGUCUGCGCCACAAACAACUUCUCACCAGUUAUGGAUGAAUACAGCUCUUUGAAUUUCACCGCCACAUAAUAAUAUGCUUGCUGUGCCAGAGACUGAAUAUUACCGUGGGGCUUAACGGGGCUGAAGUCCUUCAACCACUCACAGACAGACAAAGGAACCUGGUUUAUCUUGGCUUCGAAGGCAUCAUACUUGUUCAGCAAGAGCACAAACGGAGUGUUCCUGAAACACGGAUGCCUCACCAAACUCUCAAACAAAUCUCUGCUUGCCAGCAUUUUAUUACAAAGAAGACCAUUACCCUGGGCCCACAUUUGAUCAUAGUCACUCAAUGCAACACAAAAUAUCACCGCCCUCACAUCUUCAAACAUUUCCAGCCAUUUGCAACCAUCAUUCAAUCCUUUGGAAUUAAUGCGAAUGAGUUGAUACCUGAGACAAGACUCAACCUAGUGAGCAACAGAUUUAUGGUUUUCAUCGGAAGCAACAAAAAAGAAGAAGCAAGAGCACAAGAUAGAAAGCAUUCGAUUGAAGGUGAAAGGAUGAAGAUUUUACUUGGUCAAGGGAGGGGGGCAUUCAUAGUUUUCAUUGUAUAGCUCAGACAUAGCGCUUCUAUCAUCAAAAGAAAAUUCCAUAAAGGCAAGCCCAUUGCUUUGAGUAACUCCCUCAGCAUAUAAAAUGUCAUUCUCGGAAGGCUCAUACUCGUUACUUGAUAUUUCUAUAGCCUGUUGAAAAUGAAACACCAAACAUCCGUGAGGAUAACAACUGAAGUUUGGAAAUUUAGUUGUACUAACGGAAAAAAAAAAAUGCAAUCCAAGCUGCUUUGAAAUUUCUCCAUUUAUUUACCAACCAAUGGAACCACAUUUAUGCCAACUUACCUAAUAUUAAUUUAAGUAAAUGUGGAAGACCAUUAACUAAAUUUGAAAAUACCAUUAGAGGAAUAAUACCAAUUCAACAAAUCUGAUCUUUCAAACAGAAAUAUGAAAUUUGAUAAUCCAGUCUAGUCUUACUAAAUUAAUAUUUAUUUAAUACCCUGCAUUCUGAAUAGAGGAUUCCUUUCAGAACAAAACAAGAAAGACCAUAAAACUAAAGCUGUCUGUCAGUGUUGCACGAAGUAUUCCUGGCAAUUUUGAUCAGCAAUCCUACUGAUGGAUGGAUGAUCAAACCAUAACCUUACCCAGACUUGGGUUAGACUUGUAAAGAACUAAAUAAAAAUAAUGCAGUGGAGGUAAGUUGAUGAGUACUAACACAAGAAAUGAGAGAUAAUAAGAAAGUGGGAAGUCAAAGCAAUCAAGAAUUUAGUAAGGAAAUGUAAUCUAAAAUGAUCACAAGAAUGAGUUAAAAGAUCUAAAAUGGAGCAAAAUAAAAGAUUAAUCUGAAUAAAGUUGGAACCAAAAGAUGCAAGGCCAAAACGAGGAAUGACUAACCCGAUCUAAGAAAUAUUUGGCAACUUCAGGAAGGCAAUGUAAUUCCUCCCUCCUCUUGUAUGUUUCCUGGAUAGCAGAAUCUUUCCAUACUUCAUCUACAAUAGGAGCAUACUCACGUGUAGCAGCAGGGAAGAAUGCAUCCAAGUCUCCCGUUGCCAUGAUAUCCAGUAACCAGUCAGAAAAGUGCUUGAACCUUUGGUUGAUUGCAUAGAUGCAUUGCUCACUUUCAUCAACUACUGUUUCACACAAAGUCAUUUCACAGUCAACCACUGCUUAAGGUUCAUUCAUGCCUACAAGCAGAAAACCAAAUAAGCAAAAUGUUCUAUAUCUCUAAUAACAUGUUGAAUUCCUCUUCAAUCAGUAGGAAAUUCAUAUUAAUGACAAUGGGACGUUAUUUAUUUGAUGUUUACAAUUAGGUUAGACAGUCCCGAUCUCUUGGACUACAGGGGUCUACAAGAUUUGUGGUCAUUUACCGUUGGAUGUAAAUUCAACGGUUCACUCACUCUUGCACUCCUUUUAAGAAACUUUUUUGAACCAUUGGAUUAAUAUCCAACGGUGGGUGGCCACAACAUCUUGGACUCCUGUGGUCCAAGAGAUCGGAACUGUUAGGUUAGAUAUAACAUGAAAUUUCAUCAACACUGACCCCAGUUGCUUGUGUCGAGAUUGACAAAAGUGUUGGAACAGACAGAAAAACAGCUACCUACCUACCAAGUCCACUUCGAUACAACCAACUAAAAGACUCUUAGAUAUAUGCUGUUUCAAAGAUGGAGAUAACAAACAGCUACCUGCCUAAGCGUCCAGUUAGUCGAAGGAACAAUUUUCAUCAGAAAAAGGAGAAAAUGAAAGUCAUUUCAUUAUCUGACCCCCAAAAAAAAAGUCAUUUUCAUUAACUUAUUACAUAAAUAGAGACCUGAAGGAGAUUCUUCAGCAGCCGACGAAGUAGCCCUAUUCUCUGUCAAUGCUUCCUCUUCAAAACGUUCUCGGCCCUCAAGUAGUAUACUUAGAUACUUGUACAUAUUGCUCUGAAUCAUGAGCUUGAUGUUCUGCAGCUCUUCAGGAGUGAACUUGUUUCCAUAUAAGAACUUUGCCUGUUCCACAGAAAAAAGAAGAAUAACAUAAGCAUUUUUAAACUGUAAUUCUAUUCAAAAAGCAUGACAUAGUAUGCUCAUACAAAGAAAUAAAGCUUCUGAUUCAAAAAUAAAUUAAUUAAUUAAGCCCUGGGGGUUUUCGCUAACCGACUCCAACGUAUCAUGCAAUUUGAUUAUCCGCAAAAGGAAAGUUAGUAGAUUAAAUAGACUUGAAUCCUCUUGCUUUGUAAUAUCCUUAUUUUGAAUCUGAACUCUUCACACAAAAUCUAAUCGCUCAUACUAUGCUAAAUGCAUAAAUUAACCUUCCUAAGGUUAACGCCAUCUCUUCUAUACUCUCUUUCUUCUUUUUCUUUUCCCUAUCCUCCCAUUCCGGAAUUCUGCAUCUGGUUCUCCCUUUGUUUUUCACAUUAAUUCCUUAACUCUCAUGCAGUAAAAUCAAGCUUGUGGCUCUGGAAAACACAUAUUGAGUUUUCAUCAUUAGUAAAAGCUUCUAUUUUAUCACUUUCAACAGUGGAGGACUGAAAUAACUUAUCUACAAUGAAUCAGUGAUCGAGAUGAUUGAAUUUCCUCUGCUUCUAGUAUUAAUCUAGAUCCACAAAAAUAUGCAGCAUACUCUUAGCUACUUUUGAGGUUUUACCAUACAUUCUAAGUUCCAAGUUGAGGCUUUUCAGUAAAAACAGCCACCGGUUUCAAGAAAUGACUGCAAACCACAUAAUGACAUAAAGGAAGAUAAGGUAGGUCCACUAUCACAAGAAAGGCAACACCUUUUUAAUUGUCAAUUUACGAAUAUGUCACGAAUCACGAAGACAAGGUAAAUGGAACUAUUAACUUCCCUUUUGUAUUAAGUGAAACAACUUAAAUUCUGAAUAUUCGAUUGUUGAACACUAAACCAACAAGCAUUUGCUCUAGGAACAAAACACAUGAUAGGGUAAAUCUAUACAAAAGUCUUGGUUGACUGGAGCAGAAAUUAGAAAACACGUGAAAUAAAAAAAGGACAAAGCCAUGCUGGCACCCUAAAAGAGGAGGGGCUGGAAGAAAAUCAAAAAGACGCAUACCUGCUUGAAGAUGGUGCUAGUUCCAGAUCCCUCCAAGCCAAAUAACAGAAGUUUCUGAACUCUUCCCUGUUCCAAAUAUUCAGGGACUGACCUACUUGAAGGUGUUGUAGGAUCUUCAUUUGUCCCGUGUUGAUUACCAGGUGGUACAGGCAAUGAGAAUAAUGAACAAAUGAAACGAGUGGAUGCCUGCCUACCAAAAACCAAAUUGCAACUGUAUAAAAUUUCGACUCAGAAUCAUCUGCCAAAGUUUCAAACUCAGACCAAUCAACAAAUAUCCAAAAUUCAUGGUAACGAAAGAACCUUUCCCCAUAUAUUCCCUUUAAUGUUAUUUUGACCUUCCUCCUCAUAAGAUCCAUCAUCAUACACCCAGAAAUGAGUAUCUGGAGGGCACUGCACUUUGGCCAGCUGAAAUAUAAAAGGCAAGUAAUAAGGUUCAUCUUAUCGCAAUUAAAUAAAUCACGUAGCAAACAUAAAAUUUCAUGCAGGUCCAUGUUAUUGUUACCUUCAGUUAGAAAACUGCCACUAAUCACACUAUUACCUAAUAAACUUACUUAUGAUGGGAGAUUCUAUAGUAAUUAGUAAGGCAUUCAUGUUCAAUACAAACACUUCUUUAACCUUUUGAUUGACAGGUUCACUUUUUCACAGUAUGGUUUAGGGUUUAGAUUUCCAAAUUGGCGCUGGUUUAUUCGUAUUGAAUAUGAACCCUACUGCAGACCGGACUCAUUCAUUAGGGACUUUUGGGGAUUCAUUGCGAGCAUACCUUCAACACCCUACGCUCAGUCUUGGUGAUCUCUCGGCCAUUCAUGAACACUUUGGUGUUCCCAUUGCUUGCAUCGAACCGGAGCUUACCUCCAACAUUCAGUUUUGAACUAAUGAUCCUGUCGGGCUUCUCUCCCUCCUGAAAUCAAAUAAAAUUAACUGUAGACAUAUAAAAACAUGCAACACGAUGCUGUAAAAUGCUCAUCCAAUAUAUAUAUAUAAAAACUCACCUUGCCCCAAAGGCCAGAAUCUUUAUCGUACCAAUACCUCCCAGGCUUCAACUUCUGCGGAGGCAAUUCACAGCCCAAAAUCUCAGCCAGUUCUUCUUCCCUCAACAGCCUCCCAUUCACAACUAACUGCUCGGGUCGAAGCUGAUUGGCAGGGCACUCCUUCUCGGCCUUCAUUAUCUGCCGAAUCUCCAAAGGGCUGCAAACCCUUGACAAGAUCCUUGAACACUUGCCCAAACUCGACCUCUUGGACUCGUCUAUUGGCUGCCCAAUGCAGCUCACACAUUUACGCCCCUCUGGCAUCGACCCCAUGGCUUUAAGCAAGCAAUUGCUACAGAACUUGGCGUCGCACACCAAACACCACUCUCUCUCCUUCAAUCUGUUCCCUUUUCCGCACCUGCUGCAAAUCCCUCUCUUAUUCGUCCGCCUCCCAGGCGAAGAAGCCAAUGCAAUCGGCGAUCCCAAUGGUUCGGUGGCGCUGGAUUGCGGCGACGAAGACCUAUCAGCCUCGUUAUCGUUUUCGUGGUCGUCUUCGUUCUCCGAAUCUCUUGGCGUAUUGAAAGUCACGACGGCCGCUCUCUUUCCUCCGGUGGUUCCGAUCGGUUUCUGCUGGGGAUUCGAGUCUUGAACUGGUAAUUCAGAGCUAAAACCUUGGUCUGCUCCUUCGAAUUCCGAUCCUUCCCUGCCGUUUUGCAAAUCGAGUUGCGACUUCGGAGCCGAAGAAGAGGUCGUGCUACUGCUGCCCGGCUCUUUUACACCAGCACCGUUCCUGACCCGAUUGAAGCGCGAGAGCUUCUGAGCGACCGGCACAGCUACCGGAAUGGAAGAGAGGUCUGAAACCGAAAGGGAAGUUACAGAAGAAGUUUGAAGGGAGUCGAUUUGAACUGGAUCAACCCUGGGGAGAUCGUCGUAGGGCAAGGGAGGGCCUUGGUAUUCGACUGCGAUUGAGUAGUCGAGGUGCUCUUCGUCGGGCAAUGGUGCGCCAGCAGGCAGCAUCUUUCUCA